GGCUGCAACAAGUUUAAGAAGAAAGUCCAAUAUAUUGUGGUUUGUCAACUAUUUGGUCCCCACCCGGAUAUGAAUCACUUGACUAGGCCGAAUUGUGAGAUAAUUGAAGUCACCAUGAUUUUUAAAAAAAAAUAUGAAAGAAACCCCUGCAUUUGAUGGAUAUUGCCUACAUCAAUCAAGGAAAAAUGACCAAUUUUCAAGCUAUUAUUGACUUAUUAGUAAUGACAAUUUUUUAUUAUUGUCAUUUUUUUAAGUAAAAAAUAAUUCUUGUUUAGCAAGCUACAUUUCCAAUAUGCUUUGAUAUACCAAGUAUCAAAAAUUAGCAACAGAGAAAAAUGAUUUUUCUUUCCUUGGUGCUUUCCUUUCGAGGGAAAAAAAUAGAGACCAAAAACAGAUACAAGAGAAAGGUAAAGAAAAUUUAUAAAACAUUUUUCUUGUUUAAUUAUCCAUGGAAAAGUUGAAAGAAACAAAAUUAAAUCAUCCAAGAAUGCAUUUCCUCAAACUUCUCCCUCUCUUUCUUAAGGAAAGUGGGGAGGAAAAUCUUUUAACAUUUUCUUUUCUUUCCUUUUUUUGCCCCUUAGUUUUUAUGUCCCUAAGCAUUUUUUACCCAUAAAAAAAAAAUGUCCCUCAGCAUUAUUCCAUACUAUCCAAGCAUAAGAAAAUUAUCUUGAUAUUGUUCUCAGUAUUUCACAACUGCCUGAAAGCCACCUAAUCAUCCAAACAGGAAUGUUAAUUUGAUUCAAUGGUUUGUGAUACAGAUAUGUACCAGCUGACCAGGCAACUGGAACAGGCUUUACUCAAGCCUUAGAGAGAUGCCAAAGCUAAAAAAAUUAUUACCAUUCCAGCAAUUUCAAGCAUGAUAUACGUAUAAGCAAAGAAAUACCUCGUCCAUGGCCCUAAUUCGGAGAAGCCUCCGCCGCGACUCGUGUCCAUUUAUUCGAACAUUUAAUAACUACACGUAAACAGCCAACUGAGCAGAUCUACAUUUAAAUCGAAAAUAAUCUAUUGAAAAAAAGACCAGAAAGAAUGCAGAGAAUGUGCAGAAAAGAGACAAAUAGCAAAAAAUUGAAUAUCAGAUUUUCCAUCAAUUGAACCGAUUCUAAACACAACUAUAUCAAACAAAAGAUUCAGAAACCCUUUUGUAUUUUCUUUUUACUCGGUUUUUUUCGGGAAUCAAACAGGUGCAAAUACCUUGAGAGAGCAGGAGCGGAAGCGGCGAGAAUCAGAUGGAAAGCGGAAUGGUGACGAAAGAGAGAGGCGGUGGCGGGGGAGAAGAAAACUAAGCGUAGAGAGAGAGUAAGAUUGCAUGACUGUGAUGGAUGAUGAAUAUGCAGCGAUCCGAUCGUGGAUUCGUGGGAGAAGAAGCAGAGUGAGAACGACGCCGCUUAAAUGCACCGAAAGGCGCUUCGCCGGAGGGACAGUGGAUUGAGCCAUUAAAGACUUCGAAAAUUUCAGUAGUAUGAGCCUUUCGUCACGCGCGCGUUGUAGCGCGUGUGAGAUUGUUGUGUUGGUUAGGUGGCGCGGGUUUGACCCGUGGGCUUUUGUUUCUUCACAACUUCGACUCUGCAUAAUCUUCUGACACGAUGGUAACGGCUUUCGAAAUGCAUUUUUCCAUUGGUUUUUUUUUAUAAAAAAAAAAAAUGAAAAAAAACAACUUAGAAAAAGGUGACAUAUGAGAAUGAAUUUUUUAUUUUUGUUAUUUUUUUGUAUAUACAUUUUUUCCGUUUCAAUUUCAACAGGCGGAAAAUGAUACUGAAGGUAGCAGGGUGGGGCAGACGUGCUGUGUGCGGGUGGCGGAGGGGAUGACUUUGUCUCUUUUCUCGAUUUAAGACAACGUGAUGUCUCUUUCUCAUCCUUUUAAGCCAUAGGAAGGCAGGUCACACUUCAAUGUAAAGUGGCACUUGUCACGUUGAUUUAGUAAUUUUCUUCAGGCGAGGCUUUGCCGUCAACUUCAAAUCAAUCAGCUGUUAUAAUUGUGAGCCUUGCGUCCCCUGCUCCGUUUUCCACCUUGCAUUUCAAAUUUAAAUUUUAAGCCAAAAGAAAAAAAAAAUCAAUAGCCAAUUCCAUUCUCGUUAGUUAAUUUUCAUCCAUUAACAUUUUUUUUUAAAUACACAAAAAUAAAAUAAUAAUAAAAAUUGAUUUCAUCCUCAUUCAUUGAUUCAUAAAAUUAUGUUUGAAAAUGAAAAUAAAAAUAAAAAAUGGGAAAGAAAAUAAAAAUAAUAAUUAAACCAAAUCUUACUAAUAUUUUGAUUUCUCUUUUCUUACCUUCAUUACUAUCCAUUCCAUUCCUAUUCCGAAGUUCCAAAGGCACCAUAAACCGUUGAGGCAAGUGAAUUCAUGAAUACAAUUCAACAAGUAUAUUACACAUUUAACAAACUACAAUCCACAAGCAAACCCAAAACUUGGUGUCUAACACUAGAAUUCCUUUGCAAACCGAAAACACCACAAACAUCAGACAUCCCAAUACAGCUCACAUUUGGAUCAGUGCACACAUAAACACACUUUCCCUUCAUACUGAUCACUGACGGUUUUGGAGAACUAGUUGAAAUAUUAGGACUGUCCAGGCUCUGGUGAUUCGGAUAAUUGCUAGUUUGGCCUGGAAACAGGAGGUCGCCCACGCCCCAUUGUGAAACCUCUGGUCCCAUCCGGCAUUUUUGGGCCAGGAGGUGGCUUUGAGCCUUCAGCACCAUAACUAGAUGAGAGGGUUCCAUGACCUAAAAAUUUUAAAAUAAUAACAAUCAGUACUGAAGAUAUUGAAUUUGAUGGAACUAAUGAUUUAAAAGGGCAAGGAACCGAAAGCAAGAGCAGUGGCCUGUUUAAAUACCCUGUCCAUUCAUACACCGGUAUUUCUGUCCCCUUGAUCGCCCUCGGUUCCGGCCCCUCGGGCCAUUUUUCUCUUUCGUCAAAUGCUCCCCAUCCUGAGACAAAAGAGAAGCAGCACACAUGACUGCAUGCUGAUAGUUGAUUCGAGUAGUUGACCUAUAAAGCUAAGUACAAUAACAUUUCAUGAUGCAUCAGCUGCAUGGGAGGAAACAAAUUCUUUGAAUAUAACUUCAUAAAAUGAAACAAACAACAGUUUCCUUGGCACUACCCUACAGUCACUGAGAAAAGAGAUUGAUGAAGGAAAAUGAUGCUAGAAAUACAAUCAUAUGGUGAAAAUUCAUGUCAGUGGGAAUACUACUGAUGUGUACAUGAUGCAAUAGUAAGAAGACAAUUCCAUAUCAAAAUGUCAUACGUAAGGUAAGCAUUCUUCCAAAAUAGUAAGUGUGAAAUAUCUUAACAUUAUGCACUUGAUGAACAAUUUGGAUAGCCUCCUUAAGGGCCCAAAAGGAAAUAUCAGUAACUGGCUAAAAGGAGUAACAAGACUACUCACUUCUUCAUCAGGUGUUUCAUCAUGACGCUCACUUGAGUUAUUCUCCUCAUCUCCUGCUGGAUGAGCUGGUCCAACACUGCUAUUUUUCUCCAUAUCAGAUCCCUUCCAGCCUUUUCUUCUCUGUCCAUACUUGCCCUAAAGCAAUAAUAGAAAAUUAAUGUUUGUGCUCGUUACCGAGACUUAAGGGUAGAAAAGACAUGACAGAACCAAGUACCAUUUGCUUGUGAAGAAGCUUGACCCUCAUGCCAUUUCUCCAGUCUUGUUCAUUAUUUAAAGUAGCCACCUGUUAAAAUUACAAGAAAAGCACCAAGUCUUGACAAUUAAUCAUCCAAAGAUCAUAAGUCAAAUAUCUAAUAGAUGUCUAGACUAGUGAAAACUUGGAUACUCACAGCUCUCUCAGCAGCCUCCACAGUCUCAUAAUCCACAAUAGCAUGUAACUACAGAAAGAAACCAGAAGGAUAAAUAAAGUUAUAAAUGAAAUUAAUACACCAUUCAGUAAAUAUGAUGCAAACUACAAAAGCAGUAGACAAGAAAAUUCCCACUCCCCCUUUUCUUGUUGAAGUGUAUUUCUGGUUACUGGUUUUGCUACUAAAAAAGGGCUUCUAACUUGGACAGUUGGAACAAAAAAUGGCAGUGUUCGCAAUUUUAGAAAGAUGCUACCUUUUAAUCAAAUCAAGAUUCAUACAUUAACAUCUCUUAUAGGGGUGUGUGUGUGUUUGUGUGUAUGAGGCCCACAUAUCUACUACAUAUUCGUCUUUAUGGCACAGGCCUUGGGGCAUCUCCAGAAAUUAACAACUCAAUUUAGUGCUCAUUUGAAUACACUUCAUGUUCUCUAUUUUUUUUAAAUAGAAAAUAGUUGUAACCUUUAUAUAAAAUACAGUAACUCUCAUAUAAAAAGUAUGAACUUAUCUCAUGUCUUUAAAACUACUUUAUAUUUUUUGAAAUUUGAGGUAGUAGAAAUAUUUUUAAUGCCUUGGGUUUUUUCAAACAGUUUUUAAAAAUCAUCAAUUUUUUUUUUUUUAUAAGUCUCAAAAAGCUAUUCUACCAUAUAUGCAAGUUACUACCAUUUUCUGUUUUUGAAAACAAAAAAUAAGAAGUAGAAACAACACCUUAGCAAUUUUAUUUUCUUUUCUAUAAAAGUCUUUCCCAGAAACAUUGAGAACAGAGUGUCACAUUAAUCUUUGUGACAGAGGCAAAAACAUUUCACAUUAUGACAAAAGUCAAUGAUGCUUCAUAUGUUGAUAAGGUUAAAGAUUGCAUAGAAAUAUGCUUUCAAUGAGCUUCACAGGAUUAGUGUUUUCUAUUUGACAGUAUUAAGUAUAUAACCUUGAGUUUUUUUGGCUUAGCUUCCUUUACAGUUUCACCAUAAAAUUUUAUAAUAUUCAGCCUUCAUUUCAUUGUGGGUCAGUCUUCCACCUUAUGCUUAUAGAAUUUUUAUCAAGUCUCUUCUGAUGGAUCUUGGGAAAAGCAAAUCAUAUUCAACUCCAUACCUUACCACUUAUCAGCUUCUCCACCCUGCUGUCUUUUGUUGACUCUUCUGUGGCAUAUGGGUCAUGAAUGCAAAUUUUUUUUAUGCUGUACAUUUACAAAGCAUUCAAUAGUUGUUAAACAUUAAAUGCAGAAAGCAGAAACCAAGGAAUAAAAGAAGAAAAGGGUGGAAAACGACGUACUUUCCAGCUGCCCCAAAUAUUCUCUGAAUGUUCUCGGUUGAGUGGUCUUCUGGUAAAUUUUCUAUCAAAACAGUGCAUAUCUAGGGUUGCACAAAUUAGAUGCUACAAAAUUGCUUGAAUAAAAAUAUCACAGUGAAAAAUGAAUGUCCACAAGUUAAAUACCUUUGAAUCCUUGACCUCAGUGAGUGAAAGAGGAUGAAGUCGUUUUACCUUCUUCCCAUCUGAACUCACAACCUACAGUUUCCAAGGAAAUAAAUUCAUGGUUAUGACUUGUGUAAGGGUAAAAAAAGAGAGCUUAAAUCCCUAAAUGGUAAAAUAAGUUUCCACGCUUUCUAUGGCCCUUACAUACCUCACAGAGGAAAUGCAAAAACAGGAGUUUAAUCAGGUUCAAAUGGAGAAUAAUCUUUUUUAGUUAACAAAGAAGUAGCUUACAAGCUGAGAAGAUUCCCUGAGCGCAGCAACUAUUAAUUGAAUGUCUUGGGUGAGCUUUUUCAUCUUCCUAAAGGAAGCAAUAACUGCAAUCGGAACUGCAAGAGCAAUAUGCCAUAGAUUUGCAGUGCCAUUUCAAUUAAAGAAAAAGUAUGAACAAAUAUCAAAUAUGGACACAUAAUUGGUACUUCUAUGCAUAAUAAAUAGUAGGACUGAAAAAGCCAUCAGGACUAUAUAGAAAAAGAUACAAAGCAAAGAAAAUCCAAUACUUUAACAAUCGCAGGCCAAAAUUCUUGACCAAAAAUUGAAGGGAAAAAAAAGGAAAAGAAAAAUAAAAUAGGUUUCACAAUGCUUUCAUAUCAAGUCCAGUAAAAAUUCCCACGUUUAACAACACUUAACUUCCUCCAUAACUCAAUUAAACAAUACUUGAGGCUACAUUCCUUCCACUUGCAUGUUCAUCUUCUGUUUCAGAGGGUUCUCUAUAAAGGGCAUUAGUUAUUACACACAUAUGAAGGGAAGAAGCUGAUUAGCAGGCAUUCCACCAUAUACCAUCAACUCAUUUUACAUAGCAUCACCAUCAAUCUACCCUUGUACACUACAGAAAAAACCAAAGCACUUUCCAAUAUUCACUAACAAGCAGCACCACAAAGAUAUUUCAUAUAAUUUUGGAACCAAACAGAAUAAAAAAAGGCAUAAAAUUAAAAUUGUGGUUAAUCAUCACAAUGUUUGGUAAAUAAGUUGUGAAGAGAUUCCUGUUUCUUGCCUUUUGGUGACCUCUAUAUGCUUCCUGUGUACUCAGGUUCGACCCCCCUUUUUUAUUGGAGUUUUUAAUAAAUUGUUCAUUUGCCUAUCAAAAUAAAAGUUCUAUAGAGAUCCAGUUACAAUAAUUUAGAAACAAAAAAACAAAUGCAGAAAAAAAAAAAGGGCAAAUGAAUACUAAUGUGAAAUUGCUAGUAACAGCAAAUCUAUCAUGAGGUUAACUGAGAAACAAACACCACAAACAUAUCAUGAAUACAAAAUAUGGGGACGAGAGAGGAAGAGAGAGACUGAAGAUAAUAGUUUUUUGUUCAGUUUUGUAAUUAUGAUAUUCUGAUUACAAAAUUGUUUGAGGGUUCUAACAUGAUCGUUCCAUCAGUUGAAUUAUUCUGCAGUUUUAAAAUCAAAUUUGAACUAAAAGGUUUUUUGGCCACAGGUUAAAAAGAGGGGCAUUUCCAAGCCAAUAAAGAGUUAAGCAACCAGAGAGGAAUCAGUCAGCAGUUUUCAUUCAGACCAAUCCCAGACGCUCAGCACAGCUACAAUUGACUGCACCAGGAGUACAUCCAGGGUAGGUUACAUGUCAGAAGUACCUGCUUUACUUCAUCACCUUCAUCAUCUCUGUUCUUUUCAUGAAAACUUUCGUUGGUGAUAACUAAAUGCCAUUAACCCCAUGUAGAGGUAAGCCACUCAAUUAUCAGGCAUGGUCUGUUCAAUGUCCUCUAUUCAGACAAAUGACAGCAAGCAACAGUCUUGGCAUGGCACUGUUGUUUUCAGUUUAAUAAUUGUUUAAGCAGCAACCCUCAUUUAUAAUGAUAAUCAGAUUAACAACACUGAUUAGUUAUUGUACUACAAGCACACUACCCAAGUUAUCUUGUUCUUCAUAUUUCUUGCAUUCACAAGGAGGAACAUAGAAGGUGUGAACAUCCUCAUCACUUAUCUCCCAGAAGGUCAUACUUCUUGCUUUAAGGAACAGCCAACCUGAACCAAUUUAGAGUUUGGUAAACCAUAACAUGUUUCCUUUAGAAAUUAUAUUCAUCCAAAUAGGAUGCUUGCCAUAUAGAUCAAAACAUUGUUCUGAAAUUGUUUCCAGAACUAGGAAAUUAGAAAAUUUUAAGAAUUCUUUGAAAAUUUCGCAGUUUUUGGGCCAAAAGUAAAUUGUUAGUGAGGAAUUGCUUGUGAUGUAAUUGUCAGUCAGGUAUUUCUUCAACAAAAUCUAAAAAUGUACAUUUAAAGAAAAACCUUAAAUAACAAUGACAUACACCAGUAGAGGACACAAUGUGCACAUGAGAAAAUUUUAAAAAUGAAAUAAAAGGCUCUAAGAAACUUUUUUUUUUUUUUGAUAGACAACAAGAGCAUGCAUUAAUAAAUACCAAAAAAGGAGGUGGUGCGCCCUACGUAUACAGGUUGUAUACACAGAAACAAGCCAAACACACCUCAACCAAAGAAAGACCACAAACAAACAAAGCAAAGUUAACCACAAAAAAGAGUAUCAAGAGAAAUCAACAUAGAGGGGAAUCUGGCUCCAAAGGAUCCCUAGUCCACUCAAAAAGAGUCUGAAAGAAGAGAUCCUUUAAACCCUGGUCGGAGAGAUCUUCAUCUUUGAAGGUUCUUCGAUUACGCUCUUUCCAAACACACCAAAAUAAACACAUGGGAGCCAAGCGCCACACUGCUCUAAUCUUCUUUGGCAACCCCUUAACUUUCCAUUGAAGAAGGAGAUUUCUUACUAAAUCUGGAAAUACCCAAGUCACUCCAAAGAGGGCUAAUAAAAAGGUCCAAAGUUCUCUUGUCUUGAUGCAAUGAAUUAGAAUGUGAUUGGCUGAUUCUUCAUUCUCUUUACAUAGAUUACAUCUAUUGACCAUUUGUCAUCCCCUCUUCAUUAAGGUGUUUAUAGUUAGGAUCUUCCCCCAAACAGCUUCCCAAGCAAAAAAGCAAGUUCUGAAAGGAGCACAGGAUCUCCAAACCUCCUUCUCCGGAAAAACAAAAUUAUUCUCCCCACUUAGAGAACAAUAAUAAGACUUGACACUAAAAAUUCCUCUCCUAUCUUCUUUCCAACGUAAAGUGUCCUCACCUUCUUGCACUUUUAACGGGUCAAGAGAACCCAAAAAGCGGGUCACCUCCUCUACCUCCCAAUCUUGGAAGGGUCUUCUAAAAUGAACCUCCCAACACCUUCAUCACCUUCUCUUUUCCAAGAUUCUGCAACUGUAGCAUUUUUAUGGGAAGCUAUCCUAAAAAUAGUAGGGUAAACAUCUUUUAGCUUGAAGGCCCCCACCCACAUGUCCCACCAAAAGCUUGUACGGCGACCAUUUCCUAUACGGAUAGAAGUUCUAGCAAUAAACUCUUUCCAGCCUUUUCUAAUGUCCUUCCAAAGGCUCAUCCCAAAUGACUCCCUCCACACUCUAGUAGUCUAACCCCCCUCCACCUCCCCAAAAUUUCCACAAAUGAUCUUCCUCCACAAACUUUCACACUCAACAAAGAAUCUCCAUAGCCAUUUGCCUAGCAAAGCUUGAUUGAGACUCUGCAAUCUUCUUAUCCCCAAGCCUCCAAAAUUUUUAGCCUUACAAACAUCUGACCCUUUUACCAAAUGGAUCUUGCUCCUAUCUCUAAGACCUCUCUGUCCGUUGAGUCAAUGCUCUUGAAGUUGAAAAGCAUUUGAGUAGCCACCCUAUGUAGCUAGGAUAAGGCUUUGUCAACUUGAGUAGUAAAAAAGAUAGAGAAGUAUUUUUUCACACUAAGCAUAAAGAAGCUUCUCCAACCCCCCCCCCCCCCUUCCUUCUCUCUUCCACCCCGAUAGGCAAAUUAGACAAAAUAUAUGAAAAGUGCCAAAAAAACUAGCGCACCAAAGUACAUGGGACGAGAACCAAAAGGCAAACCAAAAAAAAAACAAAAACAAAAAACUAAUCCCUCCCUCAACAAAAACCCAACCAAUCUACAAAAUCAAAUAAAGGCAUAGAGCUUUCAUCCAUGUACACCUUGAGCCACAAGAGGAGAUUACUAAGGAAAGUGCAUCAAACCAUCUUUGGUUACUUCCCUUCCAAAUAGUCUAGAAAAUGCAUGAGGGCUCUCCACACCUUCUUUCACCUUUUUCCCACAAAAGAACCAUGACACUCUAGUAGAGUCUCCUUGCUACAAUGAAGAAGACUGUGGUCAUUAGAUUCUUCCUUAACUUUGCGGAGCACAUUUGUUGACUAACGACCAACCUCUUCUUUGAAGAUGGUCAAAAGUCAACAGCUUACCCCUACAAGCCUCCCGGGCAAAAAAGAUCAACUAAGACAGAAUCCAAGGGUCCCAAUAUCCCUAACGGAAAAGGAAUGACACAAUUUGGCUCCAAUAUGGAAUAAAAGCUUUCACAUAAAAAAUUCCAUUGCUAUAAUCCAUCUAUACUACCCUAUCCUACUCCCUCUUCAUCGACUUUCCUUGGAGUUAAAAAAGAAAUUGCUCCAGGAUAUCCAACUCCCAAUCAUUAGAAUUCCUCCACUAAGCAGAAAGAAGUAUUGAAUAUUAACGCAGCCACAUCCCAUUUCCAGGACCAACACCUUGCAAUAGUGUCUAAUAGCAACACCCUGUAAGUUUCCUUAUGAAAAAACAUGAAAAUCAGAAAAGCUAUAAUUGUGCCAGAACAAAAAGAACUUACUUGACAAGGACAAACAGAAAGACAACCAACUGGCAAGGGAAAAAAAUUAAAAACUAGAUAUUAGAAGAGUAGGGACAUAAACACCUUAUUCAUUUGAACCAUUACCAUUACUAGUUAUCAUCAUCAGAAACAGCAGCUCAAUCAUCUAUAAGGAAGAAAAGUAGUGAAAAGGACAUCAUAAUGAAACCCAAGGUUGGUCAUAUACCCACCCACCAAAACUAUAUGAUCACCCACCAUUUUUUUUUCUUUUUUAAUUCAAAGCUUGAUGUGAAAGAGUAAAAAUGGCUCAUCUUCUUCACCCACUAUACCCAACCAGAACUCUAACUUAACUCCUUUUCCUCUUUCUUCCCUUUUCACUUUCUUUCCCUUUCUUUUCCAUUCCCCUAUCCUUCCCCUUCAUUCCGUGUUCAAUGUUUUUUUAACUGAAAUAUAAAAUAAAAAUAAAUAAAUAAAUAAAUAAGAAAAGAAAAGAAAAAUCAGGGAGAGCUCACUGUGUAGCCAUACAGUGCCUUGCUGGUGUCAGCAAGGCAUGCAUGCCAUGGUCAUGCAAUGAGCUAUCCACCUUUUCCCUUUUUUUCUUUCAGUUUAAAGAAAUAUUAAAGAAGAAGAUAAAUGGAAAGGUGAAGGAAGGAAAGGGAAAGGAGAAGGAAGGAAAGGGAAAGGAGAAAAGAAGGGGAAGGGUGGUUAGUUAGGGUUUAGGGCGGGUGAUGAAGAAAAUGAUGGCGUGUUUUCCCUUUUACAUCAAAUCUUGAAUUUCUUUUGAAAAAAACAAAAAAAAAAUGAAGUGGGUAAAGAGAUGGUGAGUUGGGAUGUAGUUUCCCAAAAUCAAAUCCAAGCAACUAGAUGGAUGGAAGGGAAUUUUACUCUGAAUUAAUAUGUUUUCUCUGUAACUUUUGCUGUUUGACCUUUACUUUUUGUGUCUGUAUUGCCUUGAAGAACAUUACAUCCCUCUAGUUUUUAUCAAUAAAAGAAAAGCUUUUCUAAAUUCUCAAAAAGUACAGAAAAAAGUCCAAACACCAAAGCCUUCUGCCAUGCUGCAGAUAAAGAGGCUCUCUGUGUCACUUGUUGCCUUUCUGAUUAUGCUGUCCUGAUUAUUUGGUGCUAUUCCCAACUUUCCAUAUCAGACUUACAGUAUUAUUUUCUCAUAGGUAAUUUUCAGACAAAGAAUCACAUCAAGAACCUCCCUCAUCCACAUCUCAAUCCCUUGCCAUAUGAGAUAUGCCUCAUGGGCAUAUCAAACUUCUACAGUUUGUAUAACUGAUAAUACACUGGAGGUGUAAACUUUGCUCUUCACAUUCUUCAAUUCAAUAAAAUAUUUAUAAUUUCUCCAAAAACAUCUGAAAUGAUGAUAAUUUGAUACAUAAUCAAAUCUUAGAAAUUGAAUGUAGAAAGGAGCAAUAUCUUCUCAAUACACAAAAACUGCACACUUACCAAAUCCAUUUUUGUCCUUCUUCAACAAAUUCAUCAAAUACUUGUCUGUGGGCAAAUUUUCAUCGCUAAAAUAAUAUUCUACCUGCAUAAAAGGAAUUCAUUUAGUGACACUUAGGAAUGAAACAGCUUAAAUUUUUAAUCAGUGAAAUUGUCAAAGGAGUUCUGACUUAUAAGACAUAAACAAACCUAAGGCCAUAGUUCCUACAAGACCAGUCAUUUAAGAAGUUCAAUCUAGAAUAGAUUAAUUCAUUUAAGUUUAAUCUAGCAAUAGAUUAAUUAUAGUUUUGUUCAUAGAUAGGCAAGGCCAUGAUACACAACACCGCCUUAGGUUGUAAUGUUGCAAUCAUGUGUGAAAGAAAGAAUCGAUUUUUCAAAUUAUUUAAGAAACCAACCAUCAAAAUUCUCAUAAGUUUCAGUCACACAAUAAUAUAAGAAGUAUUUAAUGGAGGUGAGUGCAUCUAAAACUCUGAAGUGCAUAUACUGCAUUUUUAACAAUUGUGCAUGCCAGAAAACGUGUUUAAUGAAGUACAUGAUAAAUAAUAAAAUAAAAAUUGAAUGUACAAUUAACUAUAAAAUAGCACACAACAAUAAAAAUUAGAUGUAAAAUAGCCAAAUUAAUGCCUUUUUCACUUCCCAAAAUGAUGCAAAACAGUUUAUAAAAAUGUAUUGAUUCAAACUCAUUUCAUCUUAUAAACUUGCCCCUUCACAUGCUGAUAACUGAUAAAACAUUACCAAAAUUCAGCCAUUGAUUCCUAUAUGAAAAAUCUACACAGUGAAAACUAGGUGUUUAAAUGAUGCUUACCUAUCUGUUUUCCUUAUUCGUUUAGACAACUAAGAUAGUAAAAUAACAGUACUAAGCAAACCCUGUGUUUGACCAGAAAUAAGAAGCAUCAAAUAUUCCCUAGCUUUUAGCUGUCCUUGGGCAGCCAACACUGAAAAUUCCAUGUGGCAUCAGACACUUGGAUUCUUAAUGUCAUAAUCUGAUCCCUUUACUAGAGGCAGUGACUGAAGACUAUGUAGAGGCAGAGCCACGAGUAAUCUAUAGCCAAGGACAGAUAAACUUGCUCCAGUCUUGAGAAAGACAAUCUCAAGUCAAAGAGAUUUGUCAAGAAGAACUAGAAGCGCAACUUUUCAGGUGCAACCUAAGCCCAAGCAAAUUUUACCAUCUUGGUUAGGUUUGGCUUGCUUUUUUGAGAUAUCAUGUGUGAUGGACCUGUAUUGGGCUUAAUCUUGUACAUAGUCCUUGAAAAGAUGUUAACCAAACACUUGCUACAUGGCAGCUUCUUUGAGCCCAGAUAUCAAGCUUUAACCAAUACAUCCUGCUAACCUGUUGCCCUACUUUACAUGGUCAAACUGAGAGUGAACCCUCCCCAUGCAACUCACUGAUUGAAGCUGAAUAGGACAGCAUAUGUGCAUCUGCAAGCCACAUCAUGAUUUGACCAUGGAGGAUGAUCAGAUUAAGGGCAUGGUCAGUUAUUCAGGAUGAAUCCCCCCUCAAUCACAAUGACUUGCCCAGAGGAUAAAUAGCACACCAACAAUGGCCCUACUUUGAGAAAUCAUGUGGCUUGUAUAAAGGGCUAGUCCACUGUACGAAGGUCUGGCCUCUACAAGCAUUUCUAGAAAUUGGGUCAGCAACCAAGCACCAUAUUGGUAUGAAUGCCAAGAAAUCUGCACCCUAGAUGUGUACAGUGAACUCAGAUAGUGGAUGGUGGUAACUCAACUCUAGUAGAUCCAACCAUAGUUGAACUAAAAGGGAAAUCAAACAAAUCCUAGCCAUCAGGAGUAUUCUCUUCAACUAAGAGCAUUCCUCACUCAUAAUCCAUCAUUUGCCACUCACCAUACAAGGAAAACCUUCAUAGAAGAGCACACCAAGAAAGAUCUUUUUGUCCCCCCACUCACUUGACCAUUGGAGGAGCUUUACUAAAGUCCUAACCAGUGAGCUUGUUGCAGGUGCAGGAGGAGCUGCAGGAACCUCGGGAGUUUAAUCACAUGCAUAUCCACCCAAAGCCUAUCCUCUGCUCCAGAAGGCUCACCCACUUUAGUCCGCGCUUGGUUCUCUAUUCCAACUAUGUUGGUCGAUGUGAUCCUGGUCAAAGGGCCAGAUAAAUGAAGCCAACCCCAGACACCUGCUUUAGGUAAUGCACGCAAUUGUAUCAGGCAAGUAAGGCACCUUAGCUAUGGAUGAGGGAUGGAGUUAAACUCCUACCAAGGUGGAAAGACUAAAAGCUUCCCAAUAGCAUUAUCGCUUGUGAUGGCAUCAUUCACAUGAAUCAGAACUUUCUAAAUCAAAUUUAGAGAAGUAUUGAAUUUAGUAGAGCUUCUUUGCUUGAAAUUCUCCAUAUGAACAGGGUAAGUUUACUAUAUAGCAUCAUUUGCAAAGGAAUAACAUGAUUUCUCUAUUAAUAAUUCUACUCAUGUUUUCUUAAAACAAUGAAAGAAAAAAAAUAGAAACCAAAUCAAACCAGCCUAAUAAGUGUUACUCUGGUAAUUUGGCUUGAUGGAGAUACAUGGUGCAUUUGGCAUCAGAUUCAGCAUAACAACCUUCAAGUUAACAUAUCAAAUCAAUAAAAUCACAGAAGUCACAUCCAUCCAGAAGCAAAUUUUGACCCCACAAACACCAAAAGCCAUGAAAAAUGAAUUCCAAGCCAUUUAGAGCCAAAAAAGGAAAAAAAAAAAUGAACAUGAGAUUUCACAUAAAAGCAUUCCGAACCCAAAAACAAUAAGAAAACAAACCACUGGUUAGUUGCCGAGAAAAAAAAAAACUAUGAAUUGAAUGAUAACAGAAAGGAAAUUUUCUAGAUAUCAUGCUUUCAGUUACAUUAAUUCCUAAAAUUUAAAAAUCAUAAGAAAAACAAACAUAGCGAUCAAGCUAAAAGAACUUAUCCACCCAAACAAACAAAACCUAAUAUUCAAAUUUAAAUCUAUCUCAUUCCACGCAUUCCUCAGCAACCAAACGCAGAGUCAAGCGUUCUACAAUCCAAAAUCCAAAGCCAACACAUUGGAAACAGAACACCAAAAAUUACCUGCUUGAUAAUCUUGCCUCGGAUAUCAUCAGCAAGAAGGGCGUCGUUUGCAGACAAGUGAGUGUCAUCUGAAGGCGGAGGGGAUCCGGGGGCAGAGAAAGGAGGAUCAUGAGGAGGAGAUGAGAUCUCAUAGGAUUCCAUCUGGAGAGGAGAGAGGAGGGGAGGAGGAAGAGGCAAGUGAGAAAACCUCCCGCCCGUUUCUUCUUCUUCUGCUCUCUCUCUCUCUCUCUCUCUCUCUCUCUCUCUUCAGUCUACGUUUUGGCAAGGGCGUUUUAUAGCGGUCGAUGUCCCUUGCUCGGGUCAUUUCUGUCAUUUUCUGGGUCUAACGAUGAACUAAACUUUCACUUUGACUGGACCUCUGGUACUUAGACUUUGGAUCUAUGUGCUGCCUUGUAAAUUAAAUUAAAUUAAAUUACCCUUUUGCCUAAAAGCAAGGGUAGUAAAGUAGGCUAAGGUCUACCAAAAUUACUUGAUACUUGAAUAUUCAUGUGCAUCUUUUUUUAUAUUGACAAAAAGCUUCUAUUAAGAGACUCCAAAUAAAGGACACACCUCACACAAAAAGCUUAGACAAGAGUAGGGUUAGCCACACUAAAGAGCCUCCAAAAAAUUUGGAAGAGAGAGAGGACCACUCCACGAGGAAACGGAAAAAGUGUCGCUCAGCCUUUGGUAUGACAAUUCUUUAUUUUCCAAUAUCCUUUAAUUGCAUUUGCUCCAUAUACAUCAAAAUAAAUAAAUCAGAGUCAACUAUCAAGUUGCUUUUUUUUUCUUCCCUGAUCCCUUAAAUUGAAGCCAGGAAUACCCAAACCAAACCAAAAGUUGUUAACGAUAAUAUCCAAAAAUUUUCAUAUUACAUCAAUUAACUAAGGAUCAUCUCAUCUUCAUCCACGAAUCUCGAAUUUACGGUUAAUAUAUUCCCUCAAACUAUUUCUUUCCAAGCAAAAAAGCGAGUUCAUUCAUGUGCAUUUUUAUAACCCAUUUAACAAAUAACUAGUUUUUGAAUCAAUUUGCGUAAAAGGGAUUUGGUCCAAAUUGCUUUAUUUAUUAAUCUCGUUAAUUAACCUAAUUUAUAUUUUAAAACUAUUUAAUUCACAUUUAACUUAUUUUAAAUUUAUUUUUAAAUAAAUAAGUCAAUUGAAUUAUAAACGUGUUUAGUUGAAACAUUAAUCACAUAUAUAUAUAUAUAUAUAUAUAUAUAUAUAUAUAUAUAAAACUUAACUCAAUUUGAUUAUUAAAUAUCAAAAUUCGAUUAUUAAAUGGGUUAAAUGUAUUACACGAUAUAUUAUUUGUUUAAUAAUUAAGUAAUAUUUGAAUUUAUGUUUUUAACAUAAUUAAUAUUCGUGUCGGAUUCAAAUUGACCUAUAUGAUUAAAUACAUAAAUUUUAACACGUUACGAACAUAACCCAUUAAGACGAAUGUAGUAAUUUAUAAAAAUAAAUUACAAAUUAUGGGAACUUAGAAGUAAUUGGAUUUUUUCGAUAAAAAAAAAAAAAAAGUAGUUGCGUGAUUUUAUUUAAAAUUAAAAGUAAAUACUUUUUUAAUUCUAUUUAGAAAAAACAACGUGGAAAAACUUGCAAAAGAUUCCUUAAGGGACACUAUUCGCUCAAUAUUAACGCAAUCCCCCUGUUAGUAAAGAUGACAAAUCCAAAUUUUGUCGAAUGCUUCAAGAAAGGCAACUUUGAAAAUGAAGUUACAAAUGAAAGAAAUAAUAAAAAAAAUUAAAAUGAAUUUGAAUUUAAUUUUUUUAUUUAUUUAUUUUUUGGCCCCUGUAAAGCUCACACGCAACCUGUGAUCCUGGGUGGACGGCCUAGCUUUGAACACGGUUGUCUAGUAGUAAAGUUUUGGCAGUUUUUGCUUUGGCUCAUAUUUCCGUUUUGGCCAUGCCUUUCCAUCUGUGUCACGUCGCUGGGAUACGAAAUGGGUCGAGACACGUCACCUGGAAGCUGGAAUCAGAUCGUUUAGCAUAAGGGGCGGCUUCUUUGCGACUCUGCCUUUUAUCGACUCUUCUCCUCUCUUCUUCAGUGUUGAUCCGUUACGUGUUGGUUCGAUUUAGGAGAAAUCAAAAACCUUUUUUUGAACUAAUAAAUUUUUUAUACAUAUUUGAUUAAUUUUAUAUGAAGAAUUUAAUAUAAAACCAAAAAAAAAUUAUUAUUUUAUGUUGAAGUUUUAUUUUAAGUUGUAUAAUAAAUUCUUAUAUGUUUAAUAAAAUUUUAUAAUAUUAAAUUAUUUUUUAAAAAUUAUGACUUUGAUUGUGUGGGGAAAUAGUUGUUAAAAAAGCUGGGCUUUCAAUAUGAUGGGUAAAUUUAUUAGAAACCCUACAUGUUGUAUUUUUAAUAAUUAGAUAAUUGAGUUUUACAAAGUUUGAUGAAAUUGAGGUUUGGCUUUAAAGUCUUUACAAGUGGAUGAAAUAUAGAUUAAUUUGUUCUUGAAAUAUCUCACUUACUUGACUUGGUAAUUACUUGAAUUAGUUAAUUACUUGAGUUUUGAGAAAGCAAAAACUCAUAUAUUUCUUAGUUAUAUUUUAUAUCAUAUACUAACAAAAUAAAAAACCCAAUGGGAAAGUCUUUAAAAGAUGAGGUAAAAAUUUCAAAUUCUUUAAUGGUAAUUGCUACAAUUGCGUAAAACCUAUAUACCUCAAAUUUAAUUGUCCAAAAAAUAAAAAGGACAAUAACAAUAAUGGAAAAAGAACUUAUGAUCUGACUUGUAUAAUAUGUGAGUCUUUACUUGCUAAUAGUGACACUAAUGCUUAGUUGAUUAACUCUUGAUCUGCAAGAUAUGUGUCAAAUGGCAAAAAAACACUUUCUUAAACUCAAAGAGAUGAAAGCCGACAAUCAUUAUAUUUACAUGGGUAACAAUACUUUUUGUGAUGUUUUGGGAGUUAGUUUGUGUGAUAUAUGAGUCUUUACUUGCUAAUAGUGACAGUAAUACUUAGUUGAUUAAUUAUGGAUCUUCAAAAAAUGUGUCAAAAGGCAAAAAACACUUUCUAAACUCAAAGAGAUAAAAGCCGACAAUCAUCAUAUUUACAUGGGUAACAAUACUUUUUGUAAUGUUUGGGAGUUGACAUUAUAAGACUCCACUUGCUUGAAUAAAGAAAUCUCCUCCUCAUUGAUGUGCUCUAUACACCAUGAGAAUAAAUCUAUUGUCUAUGUCAUGCCUUGAUGAGAAAAGUUAUGAAACUCAAUUUAGGUCCAAAAAGGUGUCCAUGGGACAACAUGGAAGAAUUUUGUUUCAAGGGGUUAAAUGUUAUGGUUUUUAUUGUUUGAUUGUUAAUGAUUUUGCUAUGAUUAAUAAUAUUUCAUCAUCUUCUUCUUAUAUUGAGAAUGUAUAUGAUACAAAAGAUGAUAAUGAUAUUUCUUUUUUGGGAGAAUUGUGUUUUGGGCCCAGCUGGGCCCAAAAAUUAACAAAUGGUCCAUCUAACUGACCUAAUUAAUGAUAAGGAUAUCAGAUGUUAACAGACGAAAAUGCCCUUUACAUUUCCAACUCAAAUGGUUGUAAAUUAAUGGGUUUCACAGCUGGUAAACUUGAAAUGCCAUGUCACCAGAGUGAAAAUUCUGAAUCUUCCUACCCUUUUCUCUUCCUCUGUAAACAACAUACGCACAAACGAUGCUGACCUUAACUGUCCCCCAAAUAUCAGAAUCUCUUUAAGAAGAAAAGAUCAAAUGCAGCACUUGAAGAACAGUCAAAGUGAUAGCUUCUUUCUCAUUAUGCCAACCACCAGGCACUUCAAAUGCAAGAGCGAGAUGGGUGAUCUGUACUCAAAACGAAUUUAACAGAUGAGAAACAAAAUCAACAGAUCAAUCAGACAUGAAACCACUAGAAGUGAACAAUUAGAGGUACACACCCUUGAAUCAGCCUGACAACGAUAAUCCCCUCCAACAUAAACAGAUUUUGGCUCUUCUGGACGGGGCACACUGGGAAGACCAGAAAAGCUUUUUUAGGUAUUUUAUCAAUGAUCAUUCCCAAAUCCAAAUGAUGGGGGUCUGAAUUAUUUGCUAAUAUUUUGAUUUUAUCAGGUUGAGGCGUUUGUAGGUAUUUUAUCAUCAUUGUCCAGAGAGAAUAAAUGGGUUUCAUCCAAACGGUGAGCUUUGGGGAAGAAGAUUGUCCGGUGAUGAUGCAAAAAAUCCAGAAUAGCUAUCCUUCGGAUAAAAAAUAUUUUGAAAAUAGAGAAAUUGGUCAACCCGACGAAACUGGCUGCCAAUGAAGAUAUAAACUGGCUUCCACCAACUGCUAUGUCCACCAAUUGACUACUCAUUGUUAGCAUAUCAAACAUCUAUGUAGUCCAUCAGCUUCAGUUUUAGUGGGUUGUGGGCCAUAUGGUGCACCAGUUGGACAAUGCAAGACCUCCGUUCUGUUUGAUGAGUCCAGACCUCUAAAAAGCCUCAAAUGUAACUAUUAUUCUGUGGCUCACAAACACUAGGCAAGAUGUAUAUGCAGAAGGUGUUGUGUUCCUCUGGAACAUUCUAGGUUAUUCCAUUUUUUACAUUUUUCCUUUUCGUUUUGUAUACCUUGACCUGGUUACAUGAUGUAUAUGCUCUCAGAAUCUCUGGUUACAUGAUGUAUAUGCUCUCAGAAUCUCUCUUGCUCUUUGUGUUAAUUGUAAGUUCAUGACUAUUUCACAUUCUAUUAAAAUUUCUAUUAGCUAUCUUGAUUUUAUCAAAAUCACGAGCUUUUGUUUUCUGCUUGAAUUCCUAAAUUUUCUUUUUGAAUAUUUUUCUUGUCUUAGCCCACUCCACCCAACUUUUCCUUUCUCGUUUUUUUUAUUAGUAUCUGAAACAAUUCUUAUUUCGUUUAUCAAUGUAUAUUCUUGCAAAAAAUUAAUUUGUGCCCAAUUAGUUUGGUGUAAAUGUCAUCCACAUUUAUCUCAUGUAAUUUUAAUUGGAAAUAUUUAGUGUUUAUAGGAAUAAACAGGAAGCUUGAAAUUGCUAAUCAUUGGCAUUAAAUUGAAGCAGGUUUAGAAAUGAAAGUUCUGGAUUAGGAGAGAAUGAAUGAGAAGGAGAAUUGCGGACAGAAGAAAAUAAUGUCUCCCUGUUUGGCUCUGAAGAAUUGCUUGGAUGAGAAAAUGGUGAGUACUCUAAAAGUGAGCCACAGUUAGAAGCAUUUUGGUCUUCUUCAGAGUUUCCUUGUAAAUUGUAGACAAUUGUUAGGCCUGGUGCCACAUGUGAUGUUUAAAAAGCUGUUCACUAGUUGAAUGGAACCCAUCUUUAGGCAUGCUUUUUACUGAAUAAAAUAUAUGUUUGAAUAAUAAUUUGCCAUGCUUAACAUAUAAUCUUCUUUUGAAUUCUAGCUGGAAAGUUGGAAUUAACUUCGAAUAACUUCACAUUAAUGGACAAAUUGCUAUUUUUUAAUUUGCUUGUAUUGUUACAAAAGUAUAGGGAACAAAUUGAGACUUCAGUUUUUCCUUAUUUUAUUAACCAAAAGAUUGCAAUCAUGAUUAACCUAUGCAUGAGUAGACAUUCAGUAGUGGUUGUAUGGAAUUUAUGUCUGUGUACAAGACAUUUACACUAAGUGUACAAGGUACCUGUGCUUAAUGUACAAGUGUGUACAAAUGUACCUAUGUUGAAGUAUUUGCAAUGUUUUAAAAUUAUUUCCAUUUUGAAAAGAUGAGGAACAUUCCCUCACACACAUUCCUUGAUCACACACUCAUCCCGUUCAAUUUUAUUACUUCAUACAUGUUGAUUAGAUGACCAACGACAAUAAUGAUGAAUAAGAACCUAUAUUGGGUUUCACUUCCCCCUUUUCUCUUCCCCAUUUUCCCUUAGGCAUCACAUUGGAACAUGGUAGCUCACCCAUAUGCACGCUAUUAGUUUUAGGUAUGUCAAAUUUUUGCCAUUGUAUAAGACAUUUACACUAAGUGUACAAUGCAAAUGUGCUAACUGUACAAGUGUGUACAAUGCUACCUAUGUUGAAGGAUUUCAAAUGGUUUUGAAUAAAUUGCUUGCUCAUUUUAUUUUUCUAAGGGUGACAUUCCUCAUAGACAUUCCUCAUUUACAUUUCUACACAUUCAUUGGAUGAGAUAGCGCGCUUAUAAUGAAUAAGAACCUCGAUUUGGUGUCAUUUUUCCUCUUUUCAGUGAGUCAUGACAUUGGAACGUGGUUAACCUGGCCAUAUGCACUAGUUCUGUUGUAUCUAGGUGGAAUUUCUGCAACUGUACAAGGCAUUUAAACUAAGUGUACAAGGCCAAUGUACUAAAAGUACAAGGGUGUACAAGGGUGAACAAGGGUGUGUAUCUUACUUUUUCCAAACGUGGGGAACAAUCCUCACACAUGUUGCUUGAUAACACACGCAUUGCAUGCAAUUUAAUUGAUGUCUACCAUGUUCAUUCAUCCUAUUAGCUUCCCUAGUAAUGAUGAAUAUGAACCGAAAUUAGGGUAACCUUUUGUGUCAUUUUCCCUAGUCCAUGGUAAUGGAAACAUUGGUUACCCACCCAUAUUCACUUGAAAAAAUGUACCUAUUAGGGAUUUGGUGACUGGACAAGGCAUUUACACUAAGUGUACAAAGCAAAUGUGCUAACUGUACAAGUGUGUACAGGGGUGCCUAUCUUGAAGGAUUUGAAAUGCUUUUGAAAAAAUUGCUUGCUCAUUUAUUUUUUCCAAGGGGGACAUUCCUCAUUUCCCUUCGUACACAUUCAUUGGAUGAGAUAGCGCGCUUAUGAUGAAUAAGAACCUCGAUUUGGUGUCAUUUUUCCCCAACUCGGUGAGCCAUGACAUUGGAACGUGGUUAACCCAGACAUAUGCACUAGUUAUGUUGUAUGAUCUAGGUUGAAUUCCUGCAACUGUACAAGGCAUUUACACUAAGUGUACAAGGCCAAUGUACUAAAAGUACAAGGGUGUACAAGGGUGUCUAUCUUACUUUUUCCAAACGUAGGGAACAAUCCUCACACAUGUUGCUUGAUAACACACGCAUUACAUGCAAUUUAAUUGAUGUCUACCAUGUUCAUUCAUCCUAUUAGCUUCCCUAGUAAUGAUGAAUANNNNNNNNNNNNNNNNNNNNNNNNNNNNNNNNNNNNNNNNNNNNNNNNNNNNNNNNNNNNNNNNNNNNNNNNNNNNNNNNNNNNNNNNNNNNNNNNNNNNUGCUUUUGAAAAAAUUGCUUGCUCAUUUAUUUUUUCCAAGGGGGACAUUCCUCAUUUCCCUUCGUACACAUUCAUUGGAUGAGAUAGCGUGCUUAUGAUGAAUAGGAACCUCGAUUUGGUGUCAUUUUUCCCUAACUCGGUGAGCCAUGACAUUGGAACGUGGUUAACCCAGCCAUAUGCACUAGUUAUGUUGUAUGAUCUAGGUUGAAUUUCUGCAACUGUACAAGGCAUUUACACUAAGUGUACAAGGCCAAUGUACUAAAAGUACAAGGGUGUACAAGGGUGUCUAUCUUACUUUUUCCAAACGUGAGGAACAACAACAACCAACAUACGAACCCAGAGGACUAUACAAAAUUCAUUGUGCUGAAACUUAUGGAAGAACUCACAAAACAUCAUUAUGGGGUUGAGCUGUUUCAGUUCAGGAAUCCCAGCAAGAGAGACAUCUUGAUUUGUAUGACAAACACGUGCUUCAAUAAUUGUAACAGUUGUAAAUUAGGAAUUAUAGAGGUAACCUGCCUGUAAUCUAACGAGAAUUGACUUGAUAGAUUUGCUUUUUAACCAAGUACUUAGUGAUGAAAAUGUGUUUUGUGCUUAAACGGUGUCAUUCCCAUUAGUCCAAAAUUUUGGGAUGAUGAUCGCCAUUUUUCAAUGUGCCGAAUGAUUACUUUUAAGGUGUGGAGCUACUGCAUUCUGAGAAUGGUUAAUAAUAAUUUUUAAAAUCAUACAUAAUAACUUCCAAAAUAAAGACUAAUAAUUUUCAAGUGAUUAUGGAUUAUUCUUGAGUUUCACUUUUCUCUUGUCUGAACUUGCUAGUUCCCAAUACUAAAGUAGGAGUCCAUUGAUAAUUUAAACACAAAUAUUGACUAUAAGUCUCUGAAUAAUGGCGUAUUUUCUUAUGACUAUAGACAGUUGAUGGAUGAGAUCAAUUAGUCAUAAUUCUACCCUUCUUGCAAGAUCAUUCUUCGCCGAGAUCCUUUUGCUUUCCCUUCGGGGCUUUGGAUUCCUGAAUUGUAAUCCUUUUCCUUCUCCCUUCCAAUUAAGGAAUGCAAGCACGCAACCUGGUUUCACCUACACAUCUUGCCUUCUUAUAUAAAGCCACCACCGAAGGCCUUAUGAACUAAACAGAGAUACCCAAUUUAAUUUAAGAACUUUGUCAAAUGAAGGAAGUAAUUGCUCUGGCAGAAAUAUCAACUGAUUUAAUUUCUGACAGUGGUACAUCAACCUCCAUAUCAUUACAUCUAUUAAAAGGGUUCUGUAGGGACCCCUCCCCUUGGGAAACACGUGGCACGCAGCUCAUGGUGACGCGUGGCACGUGUUAUCAGCCGGACCAUCAUCAUCCGGAUUCCCCUAAGGAUAUGCAUGGUGCAGUUAUCCUAUCCGGACCGCCUCAAGGAAAGGCAAACGACGUUUCAGCUUCUCCUAUCCAAGGAAGAGCAAACGACGUUGGCAGAGCGUAGACAUCCGGAUAGUCUCCACAACACAUCCGGAUAAUCAGCAUGAGCCAUCCGGAUAUAAAUCGUCUAGAUGGUCAAUUAAAGUAAAGCGAGUCUUACACGCAAUCACAACAAGCAGCCAUGACCCAUAUCUUGUCACCUGCAGAGUGAGAAGACAAGAUGAAGUGAUAGCAAGUCACUUCCCACGAUCAUUCUACAUGAUCACCUUCCCACGAUCUCUGACAGCCGCAUCACCUACCAUGGUUUGUGACAGUCGUUCGUAGGGUGAUAAUGCUCCUACUGACACCUAUUGUCAUCAUCACAACAUAAAAUAUCUCUUCACCAUUAAUGAGAGGAACAGUACCCCUGAAGCUGUAUAUAUAUGCCUUCGCACGAAGAAGAAGGGGAUCCUUCUGGUAACUUUUAAUACCUGGUAAAAGGCCAACUGAUUUAUAUUCCUUUCUCUCACCAUGGCUAACAAAACCAUCGGAGGGUGCGUCCGGACACCCUAUCUGGAUGCCUUCUUGCAAGUACGACCGCUGAAUCAAGAACCCUUUGUGUGUUGAGAAUCGCGUGUCCAUCCAUCUAGCAGCAACGUGGACCACCGGAUACGCGAGGCGACAACAUUGGCGCCGUCUGUGGGAAACUUUACUUUUUAUUUUGAUUCGGUCACUAGCAAAGAUGGCCACACCUUCCCAAAGUCGAUCAUCUGGUAGAGGGGAGGAAGAUAAUCUCGAAUGGCGUCAAGCCAUCGAAAAAAGACAGUUGGCGAGCGAAAAACAGCUAAGAGCUCUCCUCCAGGAGACGGAGAGGUUAAGGGAAGAAAACGCUGUGUUACGCAUUCAAGCCUCAACGUCAGGUCCUCCUCCUCGUCAGCGUUCAAGAGGCCAGGUGGCAAACUCAAGGCCAGAGCCAGAAUCAAUAUAUCCUGGGUCAACAGGAGCUGUCCCAGGAGCAUACAACGCAAGGCCCCAUGAGCCACGUACACCUAUGUCUCGAGCUCCCCGUGAGGAAAGCUCAGAUUCCACUCAUUUUUCAGCAAAAAGACAACGUGAUAGAAAAUCACAGUUGUCAAGUUCUAUGCGCGCAAGACUAGGCCCACAAGAGACUGGGAGAUCAAGGCCACCAGUAGCCAUAACCCGGGCACCACGCCCCGAUCCUAUGAUCGCUCCCAUGGUGCAGAACGUACCUCCGCAUCGUGACCCCAUGGUCACCCCAGCGAUGCGGAACGUUCACUCACACCUAGCGGAACGACUAGCUAGGAGAAACCUCCCAAACGAGCCACCCAUUGGCUCCAUCAGCAAAAGGCUGGAUGACAUGCUCUCCACGCUCUUUUGCUCUCAUAUCACCCAUUACGAGCCCCCAAGGGGAUUCCUCGUACCAAAGUUUUCCACAUACGAUGAAACCAACGAUCCCUUCGAUCACAUCAUGCACUAUCGACAACUUAUGACGCUCGAUAUUGGCAACGAUGCAUUGCUAUGCAAAGUAUUCCCCGCCAGCCUUCAAGGGCAGACCCUCUCAUGGUUUCAUCGCCUACCUCCUAACUCUGUUGACAAUUUCAAGGACCUCUCUGAAGCUUUCGUGGGACAGUACUUGUGCUCUGCUCGACACAAGCAGAAUAUCAGCACCCUCCAGAACAUAAAAAUGAGAGACAACGAAUCCUUGAGGGAAUUUGUGAAACGAUUUGGCCAAGCCGUACUUCAAAUAGAGGCUUGCAGCAUGGAUGCUGUCCUACAGAUCUUCAAGAGAAGCAUCUGUCCAAGCACUCCAUUUUUCGAAUCGCUGGCCAAAAAGCCUCCUACAACGAUGGACGAUUUGUUCAGACGUGCUAACAAAUAUUCAAUGCUCGAAGAUGACGUACGUGCAGCCACUCAGCAAGUUUUGGUUGCCGGACGGGCUUCUAGAGAUGACGCGGACAGACAUGCCAAACCUCCGGACCGGCCAAAACCAGUUGACCGGAGGAAGGAUGGGCCGAGUCGUCCGGAUAGGCCGCCCAUCACACCCCUAUCCGUGUCAUACGAAAAACUUCUCCCAAUGAUCCAAGGGUUGUCCGACUUCAGGUGGCCUAGACCCCUCGAAACGGACCCAUCCAUGAGAGACCGCAGCAAGAAAUGCGCCUUUCACAAAGACCAUGGUCAUACAACAGAGACAUGUCGGUCCCUCCAGUAUCUAGUCGAAAGGCUCAUCAAAGCAGGACAUUUAAAACAGUACCUCCGCUCAGAUACGGGAGGAAGGGACGCAUCUCAACAUCAUAACUCUGGGGCCCCGAGGGCCCCAGUCGCCCCCAAGGCUGUCAUAAACUAUAUCAACGGGGGCCCAUCUGACGAGGAAUACAAUUCCAGGCGGAAAAGGCAGAAAUUGCUGCGAGCCGCGUCAAUACGCGAACGCAUUAAUUUCAUCCGGCCGGGUCUCACUGGAGAAGGCCCUCGCCCCAUAGAUGGGACAAUCAUUUUCCCACCAGUAGAUCCCACCCGGACGCUACAGCCACAUCGAGACGCCCUCAUCCUCUCCCUAGAAAUAGGAGAUUUCGAUGUAAGACGUAUCUUGGUCGACCCAGGCAGUUCAGCCGAUCUGGUGCAAGCAUCAGUCGUUGGCCAUAUGGGACAUAGUCUCGCGGGUCUCGAAAACCCCGAACGAAUCUUAUCCGGAUUCAACGGGUCAUCAACCACAUCCUUAGGAGACAUUAUACUGCCGGUCCAAGCUGGCCCAGUCACUCUCAACGUGCAAUUCUCGGUGGUACAAGAGUUAUCACCCUUCAAUGUCAUCUUGGGACGCACAUGGCUUCACUACAUGAAAGCCAUCCCUUCCACAUAUCAUCAAAUGGUGAGUUUCCUCACCAACGAAGGGCAAACUGACUUGUAUGGCAGCCAGUUGGCCGCUCGACAGUGCUAUCAAAUAGCACGAGAAGCGGGAACUAGCCAAGAGGAUGCAUCUCCCCCUGAACCCAGCCAUACGCAUGACCAAUAGCAAUUAUUGGGUCCGGCGGACAAGGAUCCCCCGGCAGCAGAUCCCUUACAAACAAUCCAAAUCUCAGAAGAGAAUGAUCACCUCAUGAACAUCAGUUCCCUCAUGACACAAGAAGAAACUCAGAGCAUACAAAAUAUCCUUCGAAGCAACCAUGACAUCUUCGCAUGGACACAUUUAGAUAUGAAGGGAAUUCAUCCCUCUAUUGCAUCUCACAAGCUUAACGUCUUUCCAGCAGCCAGACCCGUUCGACAGAAGAUUAGACGCUUUCAUCUGGAUAGACAAAAAGUUAUCCGAAAUGAAAUUGACAAAUUGCUGGAAGCCGGAUUCAUCAGAGAAGUAUCUUAUUCGGAUUGGUUGGCAAAUGUAGUGGUGGUACCAAAGAAAGAGGGCAAAUGGCGAGUUUGUGUUGAUUACACCAAUCUCAAUAACGCAUGUCCAAAAGACAGUUUUCCCUUACCACGAAUAGAUCAAAUUGUGGAUUCCACUUCCGGGCAAGGGAUGCUCUCUUUCUUGGAUGCCUUCUCCAGAUAUCACCAGGUUCCCAUGUCUCCGGAUGACGAAGAAAAUACAGCAUUCAUAACACCACAUGGCCUCUACUGCUACAAAGUCAUGCCAUUCGGACUCAAAAAUGCUGGCGCCACUUAUCAGAGAUUAAUGACUAAAAUCUUCAAACCUCUAAUAGGCCACACGGUAGAAGUGUAUAUUGAUGACAUUGUGGUUAAAAGCAAAACCCGAGAGCAGCAUGAUCUUCACUUACAAGAAGUUUUUCACCUCUUGCGAAGGUAUGACAUGAAGCUAAAUCCUUCUAAAUGCGCCUUUGGAGUAAGUGCUGGCAAGUUCCUCGGAUUUAUGGUCAGCCAGAGAGGCAUAGAAGUCAGCCCGGAUCAAGUCAAGGCAAUCAUGGAAACACCCCCUCCCAGGAACAAGAAGGAGCUACAACGACUCACAGGCAAGCUCGUCGCAUUAAGGCGCUUUAUAGCCCGCUUCACUGAAGAAUUGCGACCCUUCUUCUUGGCAAUACGAAAAGCUGGAGCACAAGGAUGGACGAACAAUUGUCAAAGUGCUUUCGAAAAAAUUAAGCAUUGUCUUAUGCAGCCACCCAUCUUAAGCAGCCCCAUCCCAAAGGAGAAGCUAUACAUGUAUCUGGCUGUCUCAGAAUGGGCAAUCAGCGCCGUUCUAUUCCGCUGUCCUUCACCAAAGGAGCAGAAACCUGUCUACUAUGUCAGCAGGGCAUUGGCAGAUGUAGAAACCAGGUAUUCAAAAAUGGAGCUAACAGCCUUAGCUCUUCGAAGUGCUGUCCAAAAGCUCCGCCCCUAUUUUCAAGCCCACCUAGUGAUUGUACUGACCGACCAACCCCUUCGUAGCAUUCUGCACAAACCAGAUUUAACUGGGCGAAUGCUACAAUGGGCCAUCGAAUUGAGCGAAUUUGGAAUCGAAUUUCAACCCAGAUUAUCCAAAAAAGGUCAAGUAAUGGCCGACUUCGUGCUCGAAUAUUCACGAAGACCCAACCAGCACCACGAAUCAAGUGAACAGGAGUGGUGGACUCUACGAGUUGACGGAGCCUCACGCUCAUCAGGCUCUGGAGUUGGGCUCUUACUACAGUCCCCAACUGGGGAAUAUCUGGAGCAAGCCAUCCGGCUGGGAUUCUCCGCGUCUAACAAUGAAGCAGAAUACGAGGCCAUCCUGUCCGGAUUGGACCUCGCCCUGGCUCUAUCCGUCUCCAAACUCCGGAUCUACAGUGACUCGCAACUAGUGGUAAGGCAUGUUCAGAAAGAAUAUGAGGCUAAGGACGCACGCAUGACGCGAUACUUGGCCAAAGUAAGAAGCACCUUACAGCAAUUCACCGAGUGGACAAUCGAAAAAAUUAAGCGAGCUGACAAUGGGCGCGCUGACGCCUUGGCUGGUAUAGCUGCUUCCCUCCCCAUCAGAGAAGCCAUUCUAUUGCCUAUCCAUGUACAAGCCAAUCCCUCUGUCGCAGAAAAUUCCACUUGCAACACCAUUGAGCCAAACCAAGUGGAUGAUCAAGAAUGGACGCAUGAUAUUGCAGAAUAUCUCCGGACAGGCACUUUACCCGAAGAUCCUAAACAAGCGCACAAAAUUCGAGUGCAAGCUGCCCAUUUCACCCUGAUUGGGGGGCACCUGUACAAGCGAUCCUUCACAGGGCCUUAUCUUCGCUGUCUUGGGCAUUCAGAGGCCCAGUAUGUGCUAGCUGAAUUACAUGAAGGAAUAUGCGGAAAUCAUACGGGAGGACGAUCCCUGGCACAUAGAGCUCAUUCACAAGGAUACUAUUGGCCAACAAUGAAGAAAGACGCGGCAGCAUAUGUCCAAAAAUGUGAUAAAUGUCAAAGAUACGCUCCCAUUCCACAUAUGCCAUCGGCAGCAUUGAAAUCGGUCUCAGGCCCAUGGCCUUUCGCGCAGUGGGGCAUGGACAUAGUGGGAGUCCUCCCAGCAGCACCUGCCCAGAAGAAAUUCCUCCUUGUCGCCACUGAUUACUUCAGUAAAUGGGUAGAAGCUAAAGCAUAUGCAAGCAUCAAAGAUAAAGAUGUCACCAAAUUCGUAUGGAAGAAUAUUGUUUGCCGCUUUGGAAUUCCCCAAAUCAUCAUAGCUGACAAUGGUCCACAAUUUGACAGCAUUGCAUUUAGGAAUUUCUGUUCGGAACUGAAUAUCCGGAAUUCAUACUCCACGCCGCAUUAUCCUCAAAGCAAUGGGCAGGCGGAAGCCACAAACAAAACUCUAAUCAAUGCCUUAAAGAAAAGGCUUGAGCAAGCCAAAGGGAAGUGGGUGGAGGAGCUACCCGGCGUCCUGUGGGCCUAUCGAACCACACCCGGACGACCAACAGGAAACACUCCUUUCGCCCUCACAUAUGGAAUGGAUGCAGUCAUUCCCACUGAAAUAGGUCUUCCUACUAUCCGGACCGAUGCAGCAAAACAAGAAGAUGCUAACACGGAACUAGGAAGAAAUUUGGACUGGGCAGACGAAGUCAGAGAAAGCGCGGCCAUCCGGAUGGCAGAUUAUCAACAAAGGGCAUCAGCGCAUUACAAUCGAAAAGUCAGGCCCAGAAACUUCAAAAAUGGUACGCUAGUACUUAGAAAAGUUUUUGAAAACACUGCUGAAGUAGGCGCAGGAAAGUUCCAAGCCAAUUGGGAAGGACCCUACAUAGUGUCUAAGGCAAACGAAAAUGGAGCCUAUCAUUUACAAAAGCUAGAUGGCACUCCGUUACUCAGACCAUGGAAUGUGUCCAAUUUAAAGCAGUACUAUCAAUAAAAAGUAGACACAAGUGCAAAUGAGAAAGAAGUAUGUUUUUAUUGAUAUGAAUAAGUGUAAUUACAAAGAGAUCUCCGGACCACAAAGAUACAGAAGGAAAAAUUACAGCAGAAAAAUUGCAAAAAGAGAUAAACUAUCAGGGGGCGGGCUUCUCAUGGAGCUUCUUUUCUUCACCCGGAGGAAUUGAAGGGGUAUCUCGCUUGAUGUCGUUCUUCUUCAUGCAGCAGCGAUACCCAAAGAUAAACGUAUCAUCCACUUGUUGCUGGUAAUCCGCUGCAAGUUCCUCCCUUUCCACAGCAAACUCCCGUUCAAGUUCUUCUUUUUGCACAUCCAGGCGCAGCUGCAAGUCUUCCUUCUAUUUCUUUUCAUUCGAAACUUAUGUCCGGAGUUGACUCACUUCAUCUCUCAGCCGGGCUGCCUCACCUUCCGCCUCAUGUAGGCGGCCCGCAGUUGAUUCUUCUCGACUCUUCGCCUCAGCCAACUCCACUCGGAGGGCUUCAUUUUCCUCUCGCAUGGUGGAUAGACUGGCCUCAGCCUCCUCCAUUCUCAGACGCAGCUGAUUUUCAAUCUCUUGGCGCCGAGAGGAGAAGGUCUUCAUAUAGUCUGCAGUCUGCAGCAGGUGAGUAUAAAGAUCGUGUUGUUGAGCCAUGCCGCAGAGGCCCCUCACCAGCUGACACGCAAACAAGAAAAGCAAAGACAUAAAUCAUACUACAACAAACACAUCAGCGCAACAAAGAAUCAAAAAGCAAAAGCACAAGACAACGAUAUACCGUUUCUAUCAUAUCAAACAUCUUAGCAUAGGGCUUGAUGGCAGUCCAGCCGGGUGUAACCUGUUUUAGCUUAGCUUCCAACUCCGCGUAGCUGAGAGGGCUAGCAGGAGCUGCAUCGUCAGCAGGUUCCUCCUCAGAUGAGGAAACAGAAGGUGACUCUGUUCCCGGAUUCGGGACCCCCACAUCUUCGUCCGGACGCAUCUGUCUGGAUGCAUCUUCAGCCGGAAUUAUUGCUGGGGCGGCUGAAGUCUCAGUUGCCAUCUCCACCUCGCCUCCAUCCGGAUGAGCGUCAUGGGCAGAAGCGCAGCUAACUUCAAUCUCUUGCUGCCGCUCUUGAAGCCUCCCAAAGAGUCCGAACCGUAGAUUGCGCGUCGAACGCGGCUUCUUUGAAGGAGGCCCUUUCACCGGGAUUAUGGCCAAGCGAUCCGGGUCGUCGGAAGGCUGACUUUGGCUUUCUACCCCCGCUUCCUCCAACGGGGUCGUUUCAGCUGCAUUAGCAUCCGGAUUAAGGUUGCCCGGACGGUUGAUAGAUGCAACUUCCUCAGCCACGUUAGCCAAACGCGCAACCGCGGCUAAGGAAGUGCCCGAAUGGUUCAACCCCGAGAUGCGUCCGGGGCCGCUUGAGAUAGAGUGCGGAGCAGCGUUUACUGGCUCCUCUAUCAUUACUUCCCUCUCAUAGGUAAUUUGCGGAGGAGGAAACUCCUUGGGAGGAGUGGGUUCCUUCACAUCCUUCCCAUUCUUCUUCACCAGCUUCCUCCUUUUUGCUGGAGUUUUCUUUGGAGGAGAGUCCGGACCCCGCUUCUGUCCGGGAGCCUUCCGGAUAGUGCCUUCAUUUUUUCUCUGAUCUCGAUCCUCCAGGAGCUUUCGCCGUCUUUCAGCAUCAGCCUCUUUAGCUUCCUGAUAGAGGGGGAGCUCUUUCACAGUAUAAUGCUCCCCAGGCACUACCUCAUCCUUUGGCAGUUUCCUGGGGAGAAUAUUGAUAACAUAUUCCUGGGACUCCCGGACGACCGCCAUCAAAUUCCGCACGGAAAGCAAUGUCUUGCAGGCCAUCUCCUUGGGAUUUAUCUCGAAUAAUUUGCAGACACAGGCGAAGGACGCCUUUUCCACCCAAUCCACAAGGUGGCCCCUCAAUUCCAGACCUGCAUUAACAGCAACAAAAGGUGAGAAUUCCGUCCGAAAAAAUCAGCAAAAAAUCAGCAAAGUAAAAUCCGGACAAAGAAUCGUAAAACAAGAAUACCUGGAAUUUUUAAGGUAUAAUUUGGAGAAAAGGGCCUCGACGCACCCUCCGAUAGCCCCGCCCAUCCACCCCGGACCGCCACCAGCCCCUUCGCCCCUCCCUUUAUCGAAUCUGGCAGCUCUGUCACCACUUGAAGGGAGGGCAGGUGCGCGGACACACUGAAGAUAUCAUUUUUUGCCUUCUUCAGGGAAUAGACAAAGAACACUUCCAGUAGCGUAAGGUCGAGGUUGUACAGCAUGUUGAUGAUGCUGCAUCCCAUCAGCACCCGGACAAGGUUGGGAUGAAUGAAGAUGGGUGGAAUCUGAGAGAAGUGGAGGAAUUCCUUAAACAACGCCGGUAGAGGGAACCGGAGCCACGAGUUGAAUUGUUCCUUUGUGAAGAGGAUAACGUUUUCUUCACCUUUCUCAGUAGGCAUAGCCGCCUCCUCGUUUACCAAGUCUAUAGAUACGCCAUUUGGGAUGCAGAACCGCUCCCGGAACUCCUUCACAUCUAAUUUGUUUAUCGCCUUUUCGCCAGCCUCGCUAACCCGGGCAGAUGAAACAGUCUUUUUUGGAGCCAUUUCUUACCACAAAGCCAAACCAAAAUCUACAUACAAAAGCAAUACAACGGUUCAAACCAAGCAGUCAGAAAAUACACAAACCCUAACCCAAAGCAGUCAGAAAAACCCCUUAAAAACCCCCCCGAACACCAACAAAGUACCAACAUUCAACAACAAUUGCAAGCGACUUGUCCAAAACAAUGCCCAAGCAAGCCAGAAACCAAGUUUAAAGAACCAGCAAACGCAACCAAAGGAAUGACAGUAGCAAAGAGGUACGUACCAAAUAAAGCUCUGAAGAAGAAGAACGGUUACUGUCUCGGUACAAAAUCACCAGCAGCAAACAAACGAAGUCGUGAUACAAAAACACCGGUACAAAAGAGCUUUCGAAGUUUUUUCUCAGAAAAGCAAAAGGCGCAGAAAAAAGCAAGAAGAAGAAAGGCUCUCAAGAGAAUGCCGUAGGAAAAAAUGCAAAAAGAGGUACAGUGCCCUAUUUAUAGUAGGACAGCCAUGUUAUCAUUAAAACGACAUAUUGCCUGGGGAUACACAGGGUCGGCGGCUCGUCAUAAAUGCCUUUUUGGCUUCCGCACCCCCACUCGCCACGUGGCCCAGUCAGACGAAGGGACUUCUCCAAUUUUCAAAAGCCAGUUAUUUUUAACCCGCCCAUUUUUUGGGCAAAAUAGGCAAGUUAAAAAGGGGGGCAAUGUAGGGACCCCUCCCCUUGGGAAACACGUGGCACGCAGCUCAUGGUGACGCGUGGCACGUGUUAUCAGCCGGACCAUCAUCAUCCGGAUUCCCCUAAGGAUAUGCAUGGUGCAGUUAUCUUAUCCGGACCGCCUCAAGGAAAGGCAAACGACGUUUCAGCUUCUCCUAUCCAAGGAAGAGCAAACGACGCUGGCAGAGCGUAGACAUCCGGAUAGUCUCCACAACACAUUCGGAUAAUCAGCAUGAGCCAUCCGGAUAUAAAUCGUCUGGAUGGUCAAUUAAAGUAAAGCGAGUCUUACACGCAAUCACAACAAGUAGCCAUGGCCCAUAUCUUGUCACCUGCAGAGUGAGAAGACAAGAUGAAGUGAUAGCAAGUCACUUCCCACGAUCAUUCUACAUGAUCACCUUCCCACGAUCUCUGACAGCCGCAUCACCUACCAUGGUUUCUGACAGUCGUUCGUAGGGUGAUAAUGCUCCUACUGACACCUAUUGUCAUCAUCACAACAUAAAAUAUCUCCUCACCAUUAAUGAGAGGAACAGUACCCCUGAAGCUGUAUAUAUAUGCCUUCGCACGAAGAAGAAGGGGAUCCUUCUGGUAACUUUUAAUACCUGGUAAAAGGCCAACUGAUUUAUAUUCCUUUCUCUCACCAUGGCUAACAAAACCAUCGGAAGGUGCGUCCGGACACCCUGUCUGGAUGCCUUCUUGCAGGUACGACCGCUGAAUCAAGAACCCUUUGUGUGUUGAGAAUCGCGUGUCCAUCCAUCUAGCAGCAACGUGGACCACCGGAUACGCGAGGCGACAGCAGGUUCCUAUUCUACUUUCACAUGUACAAUUGCAUUUAUAAUUCAUACACUACAUCCCAACUUCAACCAAACAAAAGCAAAAACAAAAGGCCUAAGCUAGAGCCAUUUGCAUUUCAACACCCAGAUUGCCUAAGCCUGCAGUGAGGCUGUGUACACCCAAGGUUGCCAGGAUUGAUGAUGAGCCCCUGAUGAAGCCAAGGUUUCCAUCUUCAUCAUUGGAACAAGCAACAGCAAGUGAUCAGAUAUUCAAUGGUAAAUCGGGUGGGCACGACACUGCCAACAGGCACUGCAUGACUUGUGGGCACCUCGUGUGACACUGGCAACAUGUGAUGGCAUGCUCAUGUGCUUCAAUUAAGUUAUGGGCUCUGACACUCUGAAACUUUCCCUAAGUCGCUAGAGAGACGAAUUUUUCUAGUGAUAUAACUUUCCCUUCGAAACUUUCACCGACUUCUAUUGAACAGCAGAAGCUAAAACGGGCACAUAAAAAUAUUGUGUAUACCAAAAAAAAAAAAAAAUUGCCUUGCGCUUCCAAUAAGUCUAUCCAAACAAGACUUAUGUCACGCAAAUUGUGUGACAUUCAGGAAAAGCUAGAGAGGUAGAAGAGUUGUUUCCAUGGCCGGUUAUUCCCGAAGUCAUCUAUCCAUUUCAUGUUUUCCCCUCAUGCACUCCACUGGCUCUCAAAGGUGCCUGAAGAGUUGUUGGACAAAAACUCCCCUGCAUGGAACAGGGGAAGGAUUCACUACACAAGUGGCCCAGAAGAAGUAAGCCAUGCUUAUGCAGCUCAAUUUGAGCAUGACAUGGAGAUCUUUUUGAGUGCGAGAGCUAAGGAACUUGUGUUUGGAGGGAUGAUAGUGCUCCUCAUUCCAGCUCUCCCAACUGGGAUCCCUACUUCUCAUAUCCCAAUUGGUAUUAUGUUCGAUCUUCUGGGAUCAAGCCUCAUGGACAUGGCCAAGGAGGUAAGACGGAUGAUAUUCCAUUUUGGAAUUAGAAAAGUGACUUUAAUAUCUAAUAGUUGAGAGGACUCUGAACAUAGUCAAGUAAAAUUUCGCAUAGAAAAUUAAUGUGGAACUUGAGAAUUAAUAGUAUAUUUUAGAACAAAAGAGAGAAAUUUUUGGUUGGGGUUGAGGGAGCCGACCCGCUGACAUUAAGCAGUUCAAGUUGUAUUCAACUGAUGGAAGUAUACAUUAUGCUAAAAUCUUGUUUAUAUUAUGCAGAAUUCAUAAUUGGUGAAUUUUUUUGCUUAUCUAGUAGUUUUAUGUUGUUUUACAAACAAACCCUGCAUCAAAUUCAAGAGAUAAUGUCAAAGUUAUCAAUCUUCAUUACAGGGAUUAAUUAGUGAAGUUGAAGUGGACUCCUUCAACUUGCCUAUUUAUGCAACCUCCCUGGAGCAAAUGACAAGCCUGGUUGAAAGAAAUGGGUAUUUAAUCAUUGAGAGAAUGGAGCUAAUGGACCCUACAUCAAAGCAUGUGGCAGUCAGUGGGAAGGACUAUACAAUGAACUUUAGAGCUGGCAUGGAGGGGAUUUUUGGCGAACAUUUUGGAAGUGGGAUUAUUGAUGAAGUGUUUGAUAGGCUUUACAAGAAAACUACGGAGUUCUCCCACUAGCUGGAAUCCAGCCACAAAGAAGGAACUCAAUUUUUUGUUAUUCUAAGGUGGAAAUCAUAUUGUUUAAAGAUGACCAAAAACUACUUUGCUUGCUAGUUUUCUUGGUCCAUUCUUUGAGACUAGUUUCGGGACAUCAAAAUAUACUGUGGUGAAGGUAAGUAGAUCAUAAAUAAUGACCAGAUUUGGGCAUCACCUCUUUGUAUAUCUACGACAAGUGCAAACCAACAUGGUAUUGGUUAACAUAUGUAAAUUGUUGUGGAUAUAGUUGUGCAUAAUCAGAAGAAAAACUGAUGGUUGUAGAAACAGAUGAUAAGUUGUCCUCUGGCCUUUGGGAAUGGCCUUUACAUAUUCAUGAAAUCCAAAAACACCACUUCUAGGAGAUAGCCUCAUAUUAACUGUUAGAGAAUACUUUGAAUAUAAAAGCAACCAAAAAGGAGCAGAAAUGUUAAAUGUUAUGUGGUUCAAGUUUUCUGGUUGCUUACAAUUCCAAGAAGAAAUUUACCAGAGAGCUUGAGACCCAUGAGAAUUCUUUUUUUUUUUUAAGUAGGUUGCAACUGCUCAUUCUGUUUCAUUCAGAGGAUACUAUAAUGGGAGGAAGUUUGCAGUAAAACUGGACCAGUGGACAACACAAUUAAGAUAUUGAAUGGAUUUCUACCUUCAAAAACUAUAUGAUAGACAAAAUGAUGUUUUACUUGUUUUUUUGUUUAUUGAAAAAUUACAUGUUUGGACUUGUCUGUAACCAGGAAGUCAUGUUAAAUUGAGUCUACCAUCUCAGGUAUCUAUCAAGGAAAAAACAAAAGGAAAGCAACAUUUUUCAUGAUUGAGGAAAUAAAAUUUGUUUCAAAGGAACACUGUUUUUGUCAACCAAUCUUUCAAACCCAGUUGACCCAACCAAGGAAGAGUAUGAUGCAUUCUCAUUACUGGCUGUUGGCCUCUUCUCACCAUCCUUGUUUGAUGCUCCAUUCCCAAUUUUGGGAAGUAGCCCUGUUUCUAGACCAGCCAUAUCAUGCAACUCUAAUCGUCGCUGUUUUGCUUCUUCUAUAUCACCUUCCCAGCAAGUUUCGGAAAUAAUUUCAAGCGCUUUCUCCAUCUUAUCCUCUAUCACAAGUUCUCCAUUUUGCAGGAGGACAAAGUAAAAUUGUUCAGCAGAAGCCUUCCGGAUCUAAGGGAGAUAGCACAAAACCAAUCCAUCAGCAAGGGACAGUUUAUUAUAUAAUUGAGAGGCAAAAUUUUGAGGGUUUAAAAUUGUGUAAAAGUGAUAGUAUUUUGUGUGCACCACAUACCUUGGGAUAUCUAUGGCCCAAGAAAGUGAGAAGAUGAGAAAAGGCUCGGGUGUUGACGGAUUCUGGAACAGAAGCAAUAUACCCAAGUAUUGCAAUGCCAGCAUAUAACUUGGAGAAAUCCUUUGUCGCCUUCAAUUCCACUGCCAGAGAAUCCAAAACACCAGCACAGAAUAUUGGAGUAUAGCCCUGUAAAUUGAGAUAUCUUAAAAAUGUGUUGACACCAAAGAAUUAAAACUACUGACAUAAAAUUCCAUAAAUGAAUCAGGAUCAUGCAAAAACCAAUAUUAGCUUACUCUUUCUGAUAACAAGAAUUUAGUCGGAUAGAAAAUUUUAUUAACAAUUCCAGAAUUGCAUGAAGGGUUCAUUGUUGUCCUGUAACAUCUAACUGUCCUGUUAUUUUCACCUUGUUUCUAUUGUUUGGUCUUGGUAUGGAUUGAAGUAGAACAGAAAAUAAACUAACCAAGUCCAGGGAAUGCAUUCAACCAACAUGGGAAGUCAAAACAAUAUAUAAAGUUCUUUUGAAUGAAAUGAUAAAAUUUCCACUAACAUUGCCUGACAAGGGACACCAUUUAUCUGGCAUGCUUUCACAUCUCAAGAAAUUGAGACUUCUGAAUUCAAUCUUCUAGGGAAACAUGAAUUUAUGAACCAGUCUAUAUGUCAGCACAAAAACUGAGCUGAUAAGAUCUAGAAAAGAAAAAAUAAUGCAAGUGAUCAAAAAACUACUUUGAUUAAAUUAGUAAUUCUUUUGCAUCAGUAAGCCAGAUUUCAAUUUAAUGGCUUGAAAGGUCAGGAUUGUCUGUGUAUUCUAGAAAAAUGCAUAGAAUUGGAGAAACUCUUCUGGUUGGAUGAAAUGAUAGAUCCUAUUAAAAAAAAAAAUUAAAUUUGAAUAUUUUAAUAAAUGCCUCUACAAUAAGCAUGCUUUCAGACAGUUAACAAUGAUGUACCAAUAGAAUCAAAUAGAAAUCGUCAAAUUGAUGGCAAUGAACAAAAAAUUGAAUGGGAAAAAAAUUGAAACUAUCAUCUGUGAAUUAGCAUAGCAAUAAAAGGAGAGUGUCAACUAACCUCCAUGUUCAAUAAUAUCUUUUUGCUGAAAAGAAACUCAAUUGUCUGAAAUACAGAAGUAAUUUCAUUAAAAAUAAUCCAUCUGAAAGAAGAUAGGGCCUAAAUCUGAGAAAAAAGUAUCUAUAGAAGAGUGGAAGUAGAGGUGUAAACAUGCAAAAGGAAUCAUGGAAACCCAUAUAAAUGCACAAUAUGCAACAGCAAAGUAUAGGCUAUUGAAAUGCAAAAGAUGCAAUAAAUACGAAAACAAAGAGAAUCUAAAAGCUGAAGAUAUAUCUUUCAAAAGUACAUGGGAAGGACAUGUUUUUGUCUAGGGAUGAACCAUUGUAGAGUCUAGGACCACAAGACAUAGCAUUCCACUUGGUUUAAUUUCUCAUCAAUCACCUUUUUCUUUCAUCAGUUUCAAUUCUCAAUUUUCGUUAAGAAAUCUAAAUAGCGGAGAAUGGCAACCCUGUACAGGAAACUGCAUAGUGGUGAUUAAAAAGUGCUUUCUGCAUUAGGUGAAAUAUGGAAGUAACCUAUGCCCCAAUGGGUAAGGAGAGAACAACGCAUAGACCCAACCAUGGCUAGAAUAUGGAUGUCUAGAGAUGAGCAUUAAUAUAUUCUUAAGGCUUCGUUUAAAGCAUUAUGAUUUGUAACAGAAGUUCCUUUGUGGUGAUGGGUAAUAGAUUCAAAACCAACAAACUCCUUGGCAGAGGAACAUUGAUAAGCAUUGGAAAUAUGUCUAACUGCAGAAUCGAACCCAUAGUGCUAAUUGUUCCAAAUGAAAACACAAACUGCUAAAAACAUAAGCUGUGAAAGCAAGAUAUAGCAAGAAAGUGAACUACAAACAGUCCCCACCAGAAUGCCAGCAAAAUGAUCCUAAAAAUGUAGGUAUAUACUGACUUUAUUUCUGGUUAAUUUUACUAUGAUAAUGUAUUGGUCUAGUUACUAUAAUGGUAUAGUGGGGGUUCAGUAGAUCUGGGUUCUAUCAGUGCAUGCAUGCACAAAACAAUAGAAUAGAACUUACUUCCAGGGAGAAGGUUAUGCCAUUAAACAGAAGAUGGAUGGAUUCUUACAGAUGGAGAAAGUAAAUAUCACAUUUGCGUCAUAUUUCUGAAGUUGCAUUAUCUCUAGCGCCAUGUACAGUGGUGAACCACACAAUGUUUCUGCAAGACCUCUAGGUUGUAGAGAUAUGCCAAAAAAGAAUUGGAACAUAUAAACUUAUUGAAAGGACCGUAAACUAUAUAACCCAUUUAGCUGUACUAUAAACUAGAAACGUAAGGGCUUUGAUUUCAUCUACUGCCUUCAAGAAAUGCUCCAAAGGUUUCCUGAGAAAAUAACAUGACACACUUCUGCUGUAAACAUAAGGGCUUUGAUUCAUCCCAUGAGGGUGCUUUUUGGUUUAGAAUUGAGUGUUUCUUUCUGGUGUUUCUGUUUUGCACUACCAUUAAUUUACUUUGGUUUCAGAUGGCAUCUUGAAAGAAUUACCUCUCUCCAUAUGUCAAUAUCUGUCUCCCUAUAUCUUCCGAUGCAAUCAUCUACAACAAACAAGUGUAAGCCAUAACAAAAGAAAACUCAGCAAAGACCAAACCCAAAGGGGUUGCAGGUUGGGGUGGUGGGGAAAGAGAGAGAGAAGCAUACUCUUGAUUCCAGAUUCAUCAGAACGGCAGAUUUAGUUGCCUCUUUGGCACGAGUAAGUUGUACCUGGUCAACUAUCAGCGCAGAGAAAAGAAAAAACAUAUGAUAGAAUUAAUACCUGCAGUUACUGCAGGGAUAUAGCUCGAGAAAAAACCAAACCAUAUGAGAGAGAUAAGCAAUGAACCUUGUCCAGGUGAAACAAUUGAAAGUAGUUCUCCUACAGCAAUAUCAAUUGCUUUUGCCACAAAAUCGGAGCCCUAAUUCCAUAAGGUGCGUCAGCUCAAGCUUAGAGGGUUGUGACAGUAGAAAAAAUAUAUAUGAAUCUAAUCAAAAUUAAGUCCAUCAUACCUCCAUCAAAUAUUAAAUUUUUUUCUAAAGAAGCACAAAAAUUCCAGAACAUAAGGAAGCAAAUAUGCAAUUUCAGAAGAUAAAGAUGAUUGAUUAAAUUUUCCCAUGAGAUGGUGGAGGUAAGAAGUGAUUAUCUAUCAGGACUAAAUGCUUAUGUGUGGUUCAACUCUAAAAUGCAUAGGAGAGAAACACGUAAACCAUUAACAAUAACAAAUGGUAGAAAGACUUGAGGACAAUGCACCCGUUAUGUACUUCCAGUGCACUUUGCUGAGGUGUUUUUUGUUCCUAUAUACAUAUAUUGUGAGUUUAUCAAAAAAACUUUACACAAGAAAAGUAAUAAGAAUCAUAUGCAAUGAGAACAUUAAAAAUGGGAGAAAUAUAAACCUAAGCGGGAUAAGAAAGGUAACAGGGGGAAAAUAUAAACCUAAGUGGGAUAAGAAAAUAAAAACCUAAAUGGGGAAAAAAAAUCAAAUAGGUGAAGCACAGGUUCACUACAACUAUGAGAUACUACAGCUGCUCUAUAUGUCAACCACAAACAAAUCACCAUUCAACACACAACCUAAAUGGACAGUAGAACAACAAAAUGUAAGCCAAGUUGAUCAAGGUAAUUUAAGGCUUUAGGGGGUGCCUUACAGUGCUAGCAUAAAUGCCAAAAAUUCUAGUAUUGUUGAAGAUAUUGUUGAAUGCAGAGAAAGAUUGAAGUUGUUGAUACUCAUUCAAGACACGAAGAUCUGUGUUCAAAAUGGGUGAAACAAGCGAGUUAAACUUAGCAGAAAUUUAGAAAUAUAUACUCAAUCAACAUUAAUGCAACAACACAGGAAAUCCAAGCAGCUAUAAAGUCCAACAAUAAUAAAUAACAAUAACCCAAAUGAUCAAGGUAAGCUACAAGAAAACCAGUAGCCAUAUGUAAAACUUACAUAGUCGUGAGUGCAUUCCUUUUCCAGGGCCCCCCGUAGAGAAUGAGCCACCUCCUCCCAUAAGUAUCUGCAGGACUAUCACAUUUCUUAAUGCAAAAAAGGAAAACAUGGUGGAUGAAUGAAAAGAGGGAAUAUAUAUAUAUAUAUAUAUAUAUAUAUAUAUAUAUAGAGAGAGAGAGAGAGAGAGAGAGAGAGAGAGAGAUUUCCAAAUAGCAGAAUCUCUUUAAGAAGAAAAGAUCAAAUGCAGCACUUGAAGAACAGUCAAAGUGAUAGCUUCUUUCUCAUUAUGCCAACCACCAGGCACUUCAAAUGCAAGAACGAGAUGGGUGAUCUGUACUCAAAACGAAUUAAACAGAUGAAAAACAAAAUCAACAGAUCAAUCAGACAUGAAACCACUAGAAGUGAACAAUUAGAGAUACACACCCCUGAAUAAGCCUGACAACGAUAAUCCCCUCCAACAUAAACAAAUUUUGGCUCUUCUGGACGGGGCACACUGGGAAGAUCAGAAACAAGUGGCUCUGCAAUGGACAAAAACUCUUCAUGUUCAAUUCCAGAAGCCGCAAGGACCAUCCUAGGAGCAGUGUAAUUCUCCUGAAAUAAAGACAGAAAAAGGAAUUCAGAGAACACAUGCAAAAAGAGGAAACCAAACAGAGGAAAACUUGUUAAAACUUUGCCAUGUAAUGUUAAUAUCACAACUUGGUUUUGCUAAAAGUCAGACCAUCUAGUGUUCUCUAAAAAGAAAAAUAAACAAAAAAAAUCAAAAGAAAAGGAAUGUAUUAAAAGAAAGAAUCUUAUAAGCUUGCUCAAAAAGAUUUGAAAAGUAAUCACCAUCAAAACCCACAUACAUAUCUCCAGCCUGCUUGUUACAAUGAAAAGGCGAUAACUCACUGGUUUUUGUUCUCUAUCUUUCAGAACUGUUGGAAAAAGAAUGUUGCAUGUCCUCUGGUUUUCCUCUUUCCUUGCCAGAGCUGCCUUCUGAGUACCAAUCUGAAAUAAUAGUUCAAAGUUUUCAGAAUAAUAAAUAAGCAUUGAGAAGAAUGAUAAAUAAUGAGAGCAUUCAGAACCUGUUCUUUCAGCUCUUUGACAUCUGCACUAUCCUUGUUUACACGAGCAGCACCGAGUUCUACCGUGGGAAAUCGCUCUGCAAAUUUAAAUGUGCUAAUUGUUUCUCCAUUAGCAGCCGGUUCAGGGCUAAUGUGAACAAAGAUUAGUGUCUUGGCUUGCCCCCCUAAAGAGAAUUACAAUCCAAAAGCCAGAAUAUAAUUUAAAAAAUAAAAUUAAAGAAAACAUAAUCAAAUAUGAGGUUCAUACUCUGAAAGUGCAUUAGUUUAUUCUUACCAAGUGAGUCUUGAAGAAGUUUUGUUACUUAACUAUUCCUGUAAGGGACAUGUGGACUCUUCUGGGCAAGGGCAGAGAUAACAUCCCCUAGAACAAAGAUAGAUCUAUUAAUAUGUUGUUCCUCCUUUAGUCUAUCUCCAUUCACCUUAGAUUUGUCUACUAUCUCACUGUCGGCCUGAUCAAGAAGAUGCAUACAGCCACGAAGAAUAGUUACUGACAUCAAGUCUCUUCCUGAUUCAUUCUAAUAAUAUUUAAUUCUCCCUAUUUACUUACAAUGCAAUGAUAAUCAACUUAAGUCAAAAAACAAUCAAACUCUGACUAAUCCCAUAAUCCUAGUGUUCAUUUCCGCAGAUGGCACCAAAAAAAAAAAAAUUAAAUAACUACAUUUGUCCACCAUAAAUUACAUAAAAAUGUGCUAACUUUAUACAGUCUUAUCACAAAUUACAAUCCCCUUUAAUCUCUCCGGACACGGUCUCGGUGUGCAUUUUGUGCUGAGAACAACAUACUCCCCAUGAUCUUCAACCUGUAAUGUUUCAAUUUCCCCUGCAUUCAUUCACGUUGAUAGCAACAAAUCAGCAAAUUAAUUAAUUAGGCUUUUCUAACUAUUUUAACAUUAAUGAGAUAGUCAUAGAUAAUUCCUCCUACGUACCACAUCGAUUGAUUUGGAAAACCCCCCCCAUUGACCACAAUUCCAUGAAUUUCAUGACAAAAACUCCGCAAUCGUGCCUACGUCAAUAUAAUUACCAAAACGUUAUUAAGUGUGGAAUUAUAAAUAAGAGAUGAACUUAAAAUAAGUUGCAAUCCUAUACAAUAUCCCGGACUGCAAGGUCAACACUCACUCAUUAGGUUGGAGGGGUACAUCAGGUGUUAUGAAAUUGAAUGUCCUCAAAUCAUAAGGUGAUACCUCUUUUUUGUGGGCAGCCAACCACAGGACAACCUUGGCCUGAAACAUUUAUUAACGUAACAAUUGAAAUUUUUAUGGGAAAACAUACCUAACAAAUUAUUACUUGUUGCUUGUUACUUUACCAGAUUUUGUUGAACUCCACUCAACAUUGUCUUCUUUCUACUAGGACGAGAAUCUAGCAGUUGGAUUCUCCUGUUUUCUAGGUCAUAUACAUACAAUGUCCAAUGGUUCUUUAUGAGAACCGGUAAGAAGACCUGCACAAAUAGACUGCCAUUAAACAUACAUCUAAAUAUUGUACAUUCAUGCAAUAAAAAUACAAAUCCAAGCAUUAAACAUAUGAAUCCACCUCGUUAACAUUGACAUAUGGAAUAUCAAUCUGAUACAGAUGUGGUUCAAAGCGUCCAAUAACUGCCUCCCUCACUAAGUGUUUUGCCUGGGAGUGGAUUACCAUUUCCUGCAUGUCAAAUACAGGAUAAUAUCAGGUUUGUCAUUGUAGGUGAUGCCUGGUUCAAGACCAAAAAUAAAGAUAAGCAAGGAUUUAAUGGAAUAGUCAUCAUUACAGCUAUGUAGGGGGAUAGAAACAGUUUCGACUUCGGUUCAUGUUCAUACUGCAACAAUCUACAGUAGGCAUCGACGACCUGAUUUCGUAUAUCAUAAAAGUGUAAGCAACUAAUUAUAUUAGAACCACACUUUCAUUUUCAAACUUAAAAUAAUGCAUAAAGAGGGAUAAGAAACGAUGUGCACGUCGUUUCCUAUCCACCCAUUCCCUUCGAAGCAGCCCAAAUUGCCUCUGGUUAGGAUAGUGUCAUGCAUAGACACUAGUUCCUCACUGUUACAAAAAAAUACAAUUUAGUUUUUGUGUUUUCACUAUCAUACAAUGAGAGGAGUGUCACUCAAGUAUGUUACCUAGCAUCCAAAUCCUCUCCAAAUACCAAUGUAGCUGCUUGUUUUAGGUCGAUUUUGAUGGCAAAUUGUUUGGUUUGUGGUUGGGAUAUGUAUGGGGACAACAGGUUUGGAGCCAUUCGACGCACUCGACGUCUCCAGACGUUUCUAUUUUUGGGGACAACAUUACCUUCUGGUUGUUCUUCACCAUCUGCAAUACGAGAUUUAGAACUAAUCAGCAAAGGUAUACAUUAUGAUUGGGUACUUGGGUUGUUAACCAUAUGGGUGUUUGCAUAAAUUUUAUCACUUACCGCUUACUACAUUAAUGGGUACACUGGGCUGCAACUCAUACUCAGGGGCGACAAUGCGAUAUGGUGUCUAGCGCAUGGUAUGCAGCAUGCGAAGCCAUGUACUCAUCACCAGGAAAUGCAUGGUCAUCGGCUGUGGGAGUGUUGGCUGGUGCAUAGCUAGAGUGACCACCCGCAUCUGAAUUUACCCCACUAUGUCUGCGAGUCCCUAACUUAUGCAUAAGGCCACGCAUUAUUCUCAGCUACUGCUGAAUGCCCCGUUGAUAUUGGUCGAUUGCUCGUUCUGCAUCAUGAUAUUGAUGCCAUAUUUCCUAUGACAUGAUAUUGAUGUCAAUCUUUGAGAACAAAAUGUGACAACAACAUAUUUCUUUGUAGUUAAGAAGUAAAAAUAAAUUACAAUGACAAUGAAAUGAACAUUUAUUAAGUUUUUGAAAAAUUAACAGCUUACAUCACUAUUUUCAGCAUCAACAUUUGUGUCAUGGUCCACAUUAGUCUCUGGCUCCAUAGUUCUCUCUACGGUUGGAGAUCUCUAGGACACCUAUAAUUAGCACUGAAGAUUAGUACUUAAAUAAUGAGUGUUAUGCUAGUAAUGACAAUAUAUUUAUGCAUGCAUAACUUACAAAAUCAAUCUUAGCAUGUCCGAAUGCUCCAAACUCCUUUAUCUCAGCGACUAGUCAUCGCUUAAUCAAAUCAUCAGUCCAUGCCAAUGCUGGGGGCACUGUAAUGGGGACUUGGACUGAAGGAAUUUGGAAUUUAAUGACAUAAUGCAGCUGCAAAAUAAAUACAAACAUCAGUAGGCAAAUGUGACUAUGUUGUGCAAUAAAAUUAUAUAACAAAAUGGAAGACAAAGACUGAAUAAGUUUACUACCUGAAGAAAUAAAACGCAGCCAUGUACCCAAGAGGUCUUAGAUUGUUGGUAUCGCCUAAUUCCCUCAACCAGUUGGUCAAGCACAAACUGGGCCCAAUUAACGUCAUUUCGGAAUCCAUCCUCAUGGAUGGUAUGCCACAAGUUACGGCAACCAUUGAGCCUAGACGUGGGGGCCAAUAAUGUGGCACAUGCGUAGUAAAUGAAUGCUCUACGGAACUCCUCGCCUACAGGUAAGUCUAGGAGUUUCUCCUCGCAUGCCCAAAUAGUCCCAAAUGGAUGAUCUGAUGAUGUAGAGGUCACCUGCAAAUUCCGCCCUUCUGUUGGGAGGCCGAAAAUGAGGCCAACAUCGAUGGUUGUAACAGGAUAGUGUUUCUGGGCUGAGAACUCUAUCCGCCUAAAUCCAACAUUGAAAUGUUGGAUUAGAAAGAUACAGAGGUUGUGGCGCACCUCUGUGCAGUUUAAGUUUAAGAGACCUCCAAAUUGGAGGUUUCUUAUGGCUUGAAUUUUUGCCUCUGGUAACCGGUUAUAGAGUUUCUUAAAUCUUGCAGCUGAGCAUCGUGUAAACAUUGAUGUGCCCUGCAUGCAAUGUUUGAAAACAUGGACAUGUUAGGAAUAGCAACAUUCUUGCAGUUGGUAAUGCAAUAAAAUAAGUGAAAAAGUAAAGCUGUCAUUUCUCAAAGUUACAAAGAUUUGUCUACUUGUAUUUAGAAAUAAUAUAUAGCAGGGUAAGACAUUAGAUGGGGUUGGGUGCUACUGACAGUGAAAUAUCCUGUAAGAGAGAGGAUUGGAAAUUUAUGAAUAAGCCUAUAUAGAAUAGGCAAUAACAGUAAAAAUGUACAGAAUAGACUAUAAAAGUACAAAAAUAAAUAUGAGAAUACUACAUGAUAUAUAAAAGAAAGAAAUCAAAUCAAUUUAUGGAAAUAAAUUGACUAAUUCUAUUAGAGAAAGAAACCAUCAACAAAUCAAUGAAUAAUCCUAUUUAACCAGCUCCUUUUGAUACUUCUGACAUACACAAAAUCUAAAGGAACUGCUAAAGCAAGCACUUUGCUACUGCCUUUGAACAUGGACAAGGUUUGGAAUCUAAGUUUCUGUUGAGAGUAUUCCCACAUGGUACUAACUAUCAUUGAAGAAUUGUACACUAUCAUUUGAUACCACGAAUCAUGUGUUUGACCAAAGUUCAUUCAUACCUAAGUUGUUAGCUGAGUGAGGAUUCAUGGGAAAAUAAAUGAAACCUAGGACUAUUAAUCUAAACUUGUGAAAGUUUUGAGGCUUGAAUCUGAUUCAAUGGGCAUAAUAAUCUAAAAUUUGCAGAAUAGAGGAAGUGGGCAUUUAAAAUAAGGUAAUGAUACACUAUGAAAUGCUACUACAGAAUUUUUUGUAGAAUAGUAAACAAAGAGUAUGUUUACGCUUGAAAACAAGAAUAAAUAAGAUGAAUCCAUGAGUGUUGGAGAAUUAAAUGAAUGAAGAGGAGUUUGGAAACCAUACUUUAUGUUGGAGAAUAAAAGUUAUGUGCUAUGACUUUAUGUUUUUUUUUUCUGUUAACUUAUAGAAUUAUUUUCAUUGUUGUAAGGAUUCUGCAAGAAGAUAUACAUGAGCAAUUUUAAAUGUUUGUACUGCUCCUGGCAAAAGCCACAUUGGGUACAAGUUUGCCACAUUAGUUUGCUUGGUCAGUGCUUGAAUCAGCGUAAAUGAAUUUCCGUUACUGGUUCAAAAUACUGGUAUAUGAAGUGUCUAGAGAGCUAUGCACCUUGCUUCAGUCAAUUGUUUGAAUCUUACAGACAAAAAAUAAGAUAGAAUUUGCCACCCAAAAAAAAAGGUAUGUCCAGAGUCCAAGGCACUGAGAAAUUGACAAGACAUGGCUCUCCACCUUCAUAUUUAAAUCACUUAGAAAGUGAAACAAAAAGAAGCCUAAUGUCUCAAUACCAUUGAGGUCCUCAUAAAUAAUUGUGAUCAUUUUACCCUGGGGACCUCGCUCAAGUGGCUAAAGAGGUAAGGGUUACCUAUAAAAAAAAAAAAAGGAAAUAACCAAGAAAAGGGUAUGCAAACUUCAAUAGUUGGAUUAUUUAUUGAUGAAAAAGCAAGGGAAAGAGAAAAGAAACUUGGAACCUCAUAACAAGUUGGAAUGUGGACUGUGAAGUGUGAGUGUUAGGGUCCCAAUUUUUCCUCCCUUUAUGACUUCUUAAGAAAGUUAAUUAGGAUUCUGGAUUUAUGUCUUAUGCAUGCAUAAACACAUAUUGAUAUUCCAUUGAUUUAUUUGUACAUAUUGAUGCCCUGGGUUUUUGAAGUGCAUAUGGUUGGAAGUCUUUUAAUAGCCUACAAUAUUUGAAGUAUAAAUUUUCUAAUUGUAGUGGCUAUAAACAUUCUUCUUCUUUUUCUUAUUUCUGUUGUUAAUGUCUUUGUUUUGAUUAUACUCAAGUUUCAUAUUUUUCUCAUAAUAUUUUUAAUGUGUUUGUUUACCUUCUUUGUCUGUCAGCAGAAAACUAUAAGAAGACAAGUGGCUAGCCUCUACCUUUACCCCCAAACUCUUGAAAUGCCUAUUCUUGAUGCUCUGGUGUAAGUUUUCAAUAUGGAAUUACGAGUUUUCACUGUGAAAUAAUCUUAGUAGUAGUAGAACCAGAAACAGUAGUUUAUUCAUCAUCUUCAUUACAUGGUUGGGCAAAUUCCACAUAUGGGUGCUUUUAGCAAUUAGCAUUGAGCUCAUGAGUCAUGACUUGAAAUUCAAUCAAUAUGUUCUUGCAUAUGGGGAAAAGGGUCCAAGAAAAAAUACAGAGGUUUUCAAUUGUCAUAUCAGAUUUAGCUUGUAACUUCUAACGUAGAUUAGCAUUAAAAUAUAUCCUUCUAUUUAUUUUCUUUUGAUUUUGAUAGAGCACCUAUCAAGAAGCAUGUGGGGUUAUUACAUGUAAAGGUUGUACGGGCACGCAAACUCUUGAAGAUGGACAUCCUUGGAGCAUCCGAUCCUUAUGUUAAACUCAGUCUAAGUGGGGAAAGGCUUCCAGCAAAGAAAACCUCUAUUAAGAUGAAGACACUGGACCCUGAGUGGAAUGAAGAUUUCAAAUUGAUUGUAAAGGACCCAAAAUCUCAAGUCCUACAGUUACAUGUCUAUGAUUGGGAAAAGGUUUAAGAUAUUUUCCUUCUCUCUCAUAAAUUAUUGCACAAACCUAAAUAACUAAAAUAUCUUGCGAAGUAGAAAUAAUUUUUUUCUGUAGAAGAAACAACAUUCACUUAAUCCAAUCAUUACACUAGGUAAGGAAGUUCAUUUUGACUUAAAACUUUUAUAGGUUUUAUAAAAUAUGGUUUGAGGUGACACAACCGAACAUACUUUUAGUAUAUCCAUUAACAUUAAUCCCAUCCCCAUCACCAUUCCUACCAGAACACCUCUCUUUAUCCCUUCCUCUACCCUCCUCCCUCCUCCUAGAGGACAUGGUUUUUGCCUAUCCCCACAGCUGUAUAGCGAAGACCAUUAGAUCCCUAAAGCAUAAUUUUAUAUGGUGUUAGUGAACCACAUUUUCUAUAUUACCAAAUUGUACACAAAUAUUACCCGACAACUUACAAAGCUAAUAUAAUAGUAUUUAAUAAAUAAACGUUGAAUUGUUAAAACUUCAAUAUUAGAGAACUUUCCAACAUAACUGAUACAUGGUAACUAUAAUAAGGGACAUGAAGAAAUCACUUAAAUUUCAUGCAUAAUAGAUAUAUAUACUAACUUAAAAGGUAUCUGAAAAUGAAAAUUUCAUAAAAUGAUUUCAGAUUAUAUAUAAACAAGGGAGUCAUUUGUUCACACCAAUUCAAAUAUGUAAAAUAUCAUAAAAUGAAAUUUCACCCAUUUUGAUACCAACAUGCAUUCUGAUUUAUAUUCUCACAAUACAUUAAAAUUGCAUGAAUAUAGAUUAUAAGUUCUUGUGGCACUCUACCAGAGAAGCGAAAACCUCUCAAAUAGUAUGUUGGCAACGGAAGAAUGCAAAAAACAACAAAGAUAAGCAAGUAUGAUGAACCAUACCGAGAGUGGGAGUGAACUGGCAGCAGAACCAUCUAAGCCAUUACCAGCCAUUGUUAAUAUUAUAACUGCAUCAUUGGGCAUAGAAAAGUAGAAUGUAAUGCACAGCUAAACUGACCAACUGAAUAACUAGACAGCAAGUAUAGUACAAUACUAUGAAAGUUCAGCUAAGUGAUAAGAAAAAUGCACGCAUCCAAUGAUGUGAGUAGGACAUACUUAAAAUAGGGAAGUGAAAGUAUACAUCAAGUUAAAGGAUACCACAUUGAAAGUGCAAUUUCAAAUUAAAUCAGUAAUGAAAGCAACUCCAAAUAAUGAAAAUUAAAAAGUAGUCUUAUAAAAAAUAAAAUAAAAAGGUAGUGCAUCGUGUCUAUAAUAAGGACAAUACAUAACAUCCAAAAGCAACAACCCUAUGACCAUAAAGCAAAUAAUGGAACAAUGAGGGAUCGUACACAAAAUGAAAACCUUACAAGCAAAGAAAUGAACAUGUCACGACAAUGGAUUAUUACAUUUAGACCGAUUAUGACCUAUGCCAUUGCAUCGAGAGCAAUGAAUAGCUCUCUUAUGGCUAAAUUGUGACUCAAUACGCCUUUGUCGGGGUCUUACUGAAGGAUGUCUCACUUGCGGGGAUUGGAGACUAGGAAAUACGUUGCCUUGGCCAUCUUGCAAAGUCCCAGCCUCACAAACUUUAAUCAUGUUGUGUGUUGGUAAUGGUUGAAACUGACCCGAGUAAAUCAAAUGUUGGGUGGAGACUUUAAAACAUGGGUCGAUAUAGUCAUACACAUCGUGUCUCAAUGUGCGGAUCACAGCACAUACAUGUGGACAUGGCAACCCGGACAUUUGCCAUGUUAGACAUGUACACUUAUGUUGCUGCAUAUCCACAACCAAAUAAACAUCUCCAGUAAAAACCUUGAACGUCCCACCCAAAUAAGGCAUCACAAUAAUCGGAGCAGAUCUCGUGAUAUUUGACAUUAGCUUUUCCUCUGUUUUGGGUCCAACCACGCUCUUCCACUUAUCUGUACCACGCAUAUGGGUGUCUAACAUGGCUACAAGCUUAUCCAUGUGCAUCAUCAGCAACGUAUAAAUUGUUUGGUGUCGUUCCUCUCUUAACCACGCAUUGAAGGACUUUGCAAUAUUAGUUGUCAUUUUAUCCCAACGUUUUUUAAGGAACUUUGACAUCGCCCAAUGCUCCGGACUAUUCUCCGCAACCCACCUUGCUAGGUCACCAUUAAAACGCACAAGUUUUUCAAACGCCUCAUUGUAGUCUAUAUCCAACCGAGCAUAUGCAGUGUUGUUUAAAAGCAACAAAGCAUCUUUUUUCCCUUUCUUUCCCCUAAUGUUUUGCCUGUUGAAGAAGCUUGAAAAGUUCUCUUUCACAUGUCGAUAACAAUAGGCAUGAUUUUCUACCCCAAACAACUCUGAAACACUACGCAAUAUCCCUUGAUGUCUAUCUGAUAUAAUAAUUACUUCUUGACCAUCUAGGAUCCCCUUCAAUUUCUCCAAGAACCAAUACCAAUCCUCAUAAUUUUCUGAACCAACCACACCCAAGGCUAGAGGGAACAUUCCAUCAUCUGCAUCAUAUGCAAUGGCAGACAAAAGAGCUCCUUUGUAUGGACCACUUAGGUGGCAAGAAUCAAUAGCCAAUACCGGUCGACACCCCAUGGUGAACCCUUGAAUUGAAAAUGUGUGGGCAAUGAACAAUUGCUUGAAGUGACCUUCAUGAGAAGUGUACUCGGCAAUAGUUCCAGGGUUAAUUUCCCUUAGCCUAUGGCAUAACCAAGGCAAAUACGCGUAGGACUCACGUGGAGAUCCAUAUACACACUCUUUUGCCUUCUCUUUAAGAUGCCAUGCUUGGUUAUAAGUCAAUUGAACUCCAUGAUCACGUUCAAAAUCCUUGCAAAUUUGUCGAGGAAGGUAUUCUAGAGUUGUUCUAAACACGUCUUCAACAACAACAGCACCUCUCUUGGAAGAAACCCGCACCUUAUAUGAACACUCAUCUUGAGCUAUAUGAUUAUGAUUAACUUGGUAAGUAUAAACUCACAAUAUUUCAUUUCCUUCAACAGCAUGAGCUGUUAUCUUCCAAGGACAAUCCUCAACCGAACACUUUACUGACAUAUGAGUAGGUGAAUUUUUCUUGUACUUGUAUUGAAACCUUCCAGCUAAUGACAUUUGGUAUAUUGCAUUCCGAAACUCAUCUGCAUUCUUAAAUGUAUGUCCGGAACCUAAUAUUGCCUCACGAAACUGAUUCGAUUCCAAAGGGGUGUACUCACUAUCUGCACAACGCGAUGCAAAACCUCUUGAUAACAUCAUAGUAUUAGGAUUUGCAUCGCAUGAUGCAUUAGACGAAGGAAACGUAGGAUGUGGACCUCUGUAUUUACAUUCAUAACCAAAAUUAGACUACAUAAUGCGUAAAAUUGAUAUUCAUAAAAUUUUAAAUAGACAUCCAAGUGAAAACACAUUACCCAAGUGCCAACUGUGUAUUCGGUAUAUUUGCCUCUAUGGCUUCCACACCGGGUGACUCGACUAUGUACACAUUUGCAAAGUCAUCACUGUGGGAAACCACGUUAUCCAAGUCAUCCUCAUCUUCUAAAUCUUGGAUGACUCUAGGGUUAAACUUGAGGGUGUAGUGCAUCAUCCUCACAUGAAGGGAAAUGUCGAAUUUUUCUAAGACCUUCUGAGUGAAUUCUUCAAAUGUCAUUCCUUUAUAAAUGUGAAUACCUUUGCUUCUUCCACCAACAUAUUCCCAAAGGCCAUCAUUUUUUUGGACAAGUUUGCCUCCCACGAAAAUAUAACAGUAUAUUCUAUUUGUGGCAUCCAUCAACCGAUUGAAAUAAAACACAAAUUUAUAUUGUUGAACAAAUAAUAAUGCAUAUUCAAUGUGAUCUUAAAAGUUUUUUCAUCUCACAAUAUACUAUGUUCCCAUACGAAAAAGUUAUAUUUUAAAAAAUGUAUAUACAAAAAAAUGUAACUUUAAAGUCUUAAAAAAUAAUUUUUGUUGCUCCUUUUGAUUAUUCUAACCAUUGUCAAUGGUAAGAUUAUUUUAAGAUAGGCACUAAUAAACAAACGGUGAGUUGAACUAAGAUAUGAAGACCGAGCUUCUCUCUUCUCUUGGACUGAUAAAUACUACCUAACCUAAACAAAACUAAAAAUAAUAAUAAAAAUAAAAAACAAAAAUUAGAAAUGUAAAACUGAAAUGGAAAUUAGAAGAUUGAAAUUAAUAGAUUAAAAAAAAUCAUUAAAUUAAAAACUAAGAAAGGCUAUAAAAGGAAAAAAAAACAAAUCUCUAACUUAUUUUCCCUAUCAUUCCCCUUUACUUAUAUAUUCAUAGUUCACAUUUUUAUAAGCAAAAACCUCUCUCUCCAACUACUUUAGUGCUACCCAAUUUGACACUACUACUUACCUAUGCUAAUAAUCUAAUCGUGUCAAUACUUGGAACUUUAAGACAGAACAUCACAACAAUAUCUAGUAAAGUAGGAGGAUUUUGUGUCUGAUUCGACAUAAUACUCCAGAACAUAUAUAUAUAUAUACACCAAAAACAUUGGAAUUAUGGAACUAUAAGACAUUCAAUAGGAAAUAAUCCCUCACGUUUUAUUAAGCUCUGACCUAUACUUACACUAGGUAGAAAACAAAUUCUCAUUCUCACUCAAACCCUUAGACAAUUUCUGUUGGUACUACUAUAUCAGACAUGCCUACAAACUUAUUCAAAGAGAAUGGAGAUAUUUAAAUAUUAAUUAUAAAAGCGUUGCUUUUCAAAAUAAUAUGAAGAGAUAAUAGCCUAAAAAAUGUAACAAAUACAGAAUUCUCUUCUAAACUAUCAUGUCUUACUUUAGAUGAUUCAUACAAAACCAUAAGCAAUAGUUUAACACAUUUAAGGUUUAAGGGUAAAAAAAGCUAAUAGAUAAAAAGAGAUAAAUCUGUUACUUGUGCCUACAUCUCAAGUCAAUGCACCAUAAGAAAACUUUAGGGUUUUUAGGUUUUCCAUUUCCCCUUUCCAUUUUUCCACUCCUGGUUUUCUAGCAACCAAUUAAACAAUUAUAAAUUAUUUUCAAGUAUAUAUGACAAUUUUUCACAAAUAUUUUUUUUGAAUUUAAAAUAUACAAAUAGCAUGAAAAAAAAAUCUAAAAAAAAUUACAAAAAUAUAAUCAGAUCGAUUAAGCCAUGAAUCAUGAGUUGCAGGUAAAGUGCAUUUUCUGUAUUCUCAAGGCUUAAAGAAAAAAUUAUGGUUCAAAAUUUUUCCUUUCUUUUUCUCAUUAUUUUCUCAGCAUCCGAAUAAUAGUAGCAAACCAAGAAGUCAAUUAUUGAAUGGGAACAGUAACUUGAACUCCAGAGAUCAAGUUGAACACAGUUUAGAGAUUUGGACUAAGAAAAUUUAGGUUGAGAUUUAGGCAAUCUACUAACCUCAAAUAUGCAACAAGAGAGACCCAACUGAAAUCCAUACCUUAUUCAAAUUCUCAAGAGAGACGAAUGCGAGAAAAAAUGAAAGAGCCGCAGAGAUUGAGAUGCAAGCGAUGGAGGUGCUCGGGAGGAAGAGAAGAAAACGGCUUCUAGGCUUGAAAUGCUGAAGAGAGACCAAAAUUUAGGCAAUCUACUAACCUCAAAUAUGCAACAAGAGAGACCCAACUGAAAUCCAUACCUUAUUCAAAUUUUCGAGAGAGACGAAUGCGAGAAAAAAUGAAAGAGUCGUAGAGAUUGAGAUGCAAGCGAUAGAAGUGCUCGGGAGGAAGAGAAGAAAACGGCUUCUAGGCUUGAAAUGCUGAAGAGAGACCAAAAUUAGGGCAAAAUUCCAAAAAGCCACAGAGAUUGAGAUGCAAACAAUGGAGAAACUUGGGAGGAACAGAAAAAACGACUUCUAAGCAGAGAAGAAAACGACUUCUAGGCAGAUAAGAAAACGGCUUCUAGGCAAAGAAGAAAACGGCUUCUAGACAGAGAAGAAAACGACUUCUAGGCAGAGAAGAAAACGACUUCUAGGCAGAGAAGAAAAUGGCUUAUAGGCUUAAAAUGCUGAAGAGAGCAAAAUUAGGGCAAAAUUCCCAAGAACCGCAUAGAUUGAGAUGCAAGCGAUGGAGGAACUCGGGAUGAAGAGAAGAAAACGGCUUCUAGGCUUGAAAUCUGAAGAGACACCAAAAUUAGGGCAAAAUUCCAACUUGGAUUUUUUUGUUUAUUAUUUUUUUUUUCAUAAUCAACAAAGGUUAUUUUUGGAAUUAAUAAAAGUGCAUAUCCUUCUUUUUAAUUUUGACACUUCCUAUGGGUUUUCAGCUUAAAUGGGUUGGUUAGAUGGACCAUUUGUUAAUUUUUGGGCCCAACUGGGCCCAAAACACAAUUCUCCCUUCUUUUUUAUGGCAUGUGAGACUAAGUCAUAUAAGUAAAAUUUAUUUAAAAAGAAUGAGUGAUUUAGGUUUAAUACCAAAAUUUAAUUUUAACUUUGAUAUUUGUGAAUCCUGCCUUAGUAGAAAAAUGACUAAAAAACCUUUAGAAAACAACAAGAUAUGAAAAUUAUUAAAUAUUAUCCAUUCUGAUAUAUGUGGUCCAUUGAAUGUUAAGACCCAUAGAGGCAUGCAUGAAAUAUUUUGUUACAUUUAUAGAUGAUCACUUUAGAUACAGAUAUAUCUAUCUAGUUAAUAAAAAAUCAAAGCCUUAUAUAAAUUUAAAGAAAAUAAAUCUAAGAUGGAAACUCAUUUAGGAAGAAAAAUUAAAACUCUACGCACUAAUAGAGGAGGUUAAUAUACAUCACAUAUAUUUAAUUCUUUUUUGUAUAAAUCAUGAAAUAAUACAUUUAAAAAAAAUUUUAAAAAAACCCAUAGCUUAUACCUCACAAGAAAAUGGAAUUGUUGCAAGAUGGAAUGAGACUUUACUUAAUAUGGUAAGAUCGAAUUAAGUCAUUCAUUCAAAUUUAAAUACUAUCUUUUGAGGAGAGGCAUGUAUAUAUUAAAUAGGAUAAUAUCUAAAUCUAUUAGCAUGAUUCCUUAUGAACUUUGGACCGGUGGAAAACCAAGCUUAGAUUAUUUUAAAAUUUGGGGUUCUUCCGUCCAUAUAUCGAUACCAAGUCAUUAAAGAGGUAAACUUGAUGCUAAAAGCCCAAAACUAUUAAAGAUACAUUUAUAGGAUAUCAUGGGAAUUCUAUUAGAUAUGAUGAUAGUGGUUCGAUGGGAGUUAUAGAAAGUAGAGAUGCUAUGUUAGAUAUAAGAAAACCUAUGAUAUUAGUAGAUUUAUUUGAAAUUCCUAAUGAAAUUAAAUUUAUAAAUAAAGAAGUAGAAAUAUAAUCAAAUACUAACUCACAUGACACUAUAACUAGUACGAGGAGAGAAAGACAACUCCCAACUCAUUUGAUAGACCUUUUUACGUUCAUUAGUGAUGAAGAAUUAAAUGAUUUGUCAACUCUUUCUCAAGCUAUGUCCUCCCAAAUUCAAUUAAAUGGAAAUAAGCUAUAAAAGAAGAAUUAAAAUUAAUAAAUAAGAAUAGCGUAUGAGAAAUAGUUAAUUUGCCAAAAGAAAGAAAAUUUAUAAGUUGUAAAUGGAGUUUAAAAAAUAAAUUCAAAUUAGACAGAACAUUAGAUAAAUAUAAAGCAAGAUUAGUAGCAAAAGGUUUCACUAGAAAAGAAAGCAUAGAUUAUAAAAAAACUUAGUCACUAACUGUUAAAUUUCCUUAUAUAAGAAUUAUAAUGGCUAUAGUUGUACAGUCAGAUCUAGAAUUACGCCAAAUUGAUGUAAACAAUUUUUUAAAAUGGUGAAUUAGAAGAAGAAAUGUAUAUGAGACAACAAGGAUAUGAAAUUCUAAAUGAAAAAGACAAAGUAUAUAAAUUAAAUAAACCAUUGUAUGAACUUAAACAAUCAUUUAGACAAUGAUAUUAUAAGUUUCAUGAUAUUUUAAUUUCAUUUUGUUUUGUUUCUAAUAACUUUGAUCAUUGUGUAUAUAUGAAGAAUAGUGAGAGUAGCUUUAUAAUUUUAUCAUUAUAUGUUGAUGAUAUUUUAUUAGCCUCCAUUGACUUGAAAAUGUUGAAUGAAAUAAAAGAUUAGUUGAAAUCUCAAUUUCAAAUGAAAGAUAUGGGUAAGGCUUCUUUGGUGUUAGGUAUUAAAAUAAUAAGAGAUAGAAAAAUAGAGAAACUUAUAGUCUCUCAAAAGAAGCUUACCUAGAUUUUAGGAGAAGGAGCAAUAUCUUGGGCCAAUAAAAAACAAACUUGUGUUGUUCAUUAUACAAUGGAAGCUGAAAUUAUAACAUAUAGUACUAUUGUCACAAAAGUUGUAUGAGUAAAAAGAUUUUUAGAAAAUCUCAAGUUUGAUCAAAUAUUGGACACUAAAGUUGUUAUGUGAUAACCAAGUAGCUAUUACAACUAAUAAAAAUGGUGAAUUAGGACCAAGAGGAAAACAUAUAAAAUUGCAGUAUAAUUAUAUUUAAGAUAUGAUCAUUCUUUAAUUAAGCCCAUAAAUUUUGAAAAUUUUAGAAAGCAUAUUUAUGCCAUAGCUAAGGCUUGAGAGCAUAUUAAAAUUACAUUUGGUUUUUGACAUGAGAGAUGUUGGAAAUUGUGGUAAAAAAAAAAAAACCUCUUUCAAUGUGAUGGGUAAAUUUAUUAGAAACCUCACAUUUUGUAUUUUGCAUACUUAGAUAAUUGAGUUUUACCAAGUUAAUGAAAUGCAAGUUUGGCUUGGAAGACUUUGUAAGUGGAUAAAAAUCGGAUUAGUUUGUUCUUGAAAUAUCUCACUUACUUGAUUCGGUAAUUACUUAACUUAGUUAAUGACUUGAUUUUUUUAACUGUGAGACAAAUGGGGUGAAGAUAUGAUGUCAAUUUUUAAGAAAUAUGGAUAGUUGAAAAAGUUUUAAAGAAGUAAAAACUCAUUUGUCUCUUAGUUACAAUAUUUUUUUGUUAUUUUUAUUAUCUUUAUUUCAUAUUAAGAUUAUGUUUGGUUUAUGAAAAAUACUAAAAAAAAAAUGUAUAUCUAUUAGUAUUUAAUUCAAUUAGGCGGUUUCAUAAAAAAAUAGGGUAGAGUUGUUCUUAUUUUACCUGAGGGGUUUGAAUUAGCCCCACCUGGUCAGCCAUAUGACAGUGAAUUCGUUCUCGGGCCUUGUACACACCGCCCGUCAUACUAUGGGAGUCGGCCAUGCCCGAAGAAGGAAGUUUGAGCUUGAUGCAAAUGGUUAAAAUAUCUUCUGCUUUUGGGUGUGAAGCAGUAUCAAACCAAAAUACCCAACAAACAUUAGCUCUGCUUGAAAAGGAGAUGAUCCAUGUUUGGUUAUUAUAAGAAAAAUAUAAAAGAAAAUCAUAUAUAAUUAAAACUAGUUAAAAAAACUAUGUAUUUUCAAAUUAUUUAAUCUUUACAUUAAUGAGUUAAAUAAAUAAAAUGAGUUUGAAAUAACAAAUAAAAAUGAUUUAUUAACUUUUAAUAUAUUUUUUAUUUUUCUUCAUUUUUUCUUUCCUUCUACUUUUCCUUUAUAUUUUAUUUAUCUUCCAUUUUCCCUCAGUUUUUUUGAAAACCAAAGAUAGCCUAAAGAGUUUGAAGACAAAACACAAUUGAGAAGCUUGAAGAGGAAUAGAAUUCUAGAGUUUGAAGAAGAGAAGGAUUGAAGACUUUUUGAUAAGGAUAAAGUUACUUGAUAACCUAACAGAUUACAACUUCAAUUUAAUUAAAUCGAACAAGUAAGAAGUUUCGUUUGUAUAAUGAUAUUUCCUUGGCUCUGGCUGAAAGGGGAGGAAAAGGAAAGUUGAGUAGAUUUCAUAUCUAGUGGCAAAAUUAUAGAGCGAAAUUUUGCGACAGUUACAACAUAGACUUGGGAAUCUGGUUUACCAAGGAUCCCAUUCGCAUAAACCAAACCAUGAUACAUCACCCACCACACAUCUAAUUUAGCUACUCAAUACAAACAUUAAACCGAAACAAGAAGCAAAACAAACAGCCCAAAUCCAAACCCUAAACUCAAUCUUCCAAGGCCAUUUCUCCUAGCCCCCGAAAACCACACCUUCACGUCAUCCACUACAGGUCCACACAGCGAGCUCAUGUCAUCGCUCCUGGUGUUGUAAUACACACUGUAGAAUGCAACGCGUGUUCUCUCAGCUUUGGAUGUGAAGUUCAGAUCGACGGUCUCGAAGGUGGAGUUGGCAUUGGCUACGUAGUGGAUGUUUUGGGCUUGGUCCCCAGCAAAAGCCAUAAUUGCUAGAGGCUGCUUGCACGAGUCCCCAGCAUGGCCUAAUGAAAAGGUCAGCUUGUAUGGCUUGUUGGGGGUGGUUGCCACCAUUUGUGAGAUUAUCCCUUCCUUUCCAGAAAGCAAUUCAAUGCCUCGUUUCCCCUGUGGGACUGAGAAAUGGUCGGAGUCGAUGAAUCGGACUGCCCUAUUUGAUUCUACAAUCCAACCUGGUAAUGAGGAUGUUUCUUCGUCGAGGUUGGUGGGGAGGAGGACACCCAGAGAAGCAUUUUUGUACAUCCAUGGACCUUCUUCAAAAUCACCAUUAGUCACUGCAUUAUCUGCAGGAAAUGUGGUAGAAGCCAAAGACGCAAUGAUAAGUUGCUUGUUGCUAACUAGGACCUUAAUCUUACAACAGAAGAGGGAAAGGAUGAAGGUAAAUACCUUUGGGAGGAUCAGGAGUGAAGAGCUUCUUGAUGGCGACGUCAUCAAUGAUAGGGCCACAGGUGGGGUCAUCCUCCAUGCCUGGGUUCCGGAACACCACAUGCGCAUCCUCCUCCUCCGCUGAAAACGCCCAAGCGUAGGGGUCCCACCCCUGCACAUUGUACAGCGUCUGCAAGUCUAUGUUCUGGGAGGCUGCCCCCACCGACACGUUUA
rnacentral:lncRNA from 1 species